rnacentral:lncRNA from 1 species
CCUCUUUGAGCUCUCGAAAACUCACUCACCCUGCACUACUCAAGUAGCAAGAGGAGGCAGAAGGAGAAGGAGAAGAAGAUGAGUACUCAACCGCCAAAGCAGCCGCCAAAGCAGCCGCCAAAACAGCCGCCACCACCGGGAAAUGGGAAGCCCCAUCCAGCCCCAUCCUUCGGCAACCUCCCACCUCCGAGAGGCAGCGUCAUCAGGGCCAUCAUCUACGGCAACAGCUGAAGCUGUUAUGAUCUUAAUCCUGGGGAGGUGUAAGUAGCUUUUCAAUUAUCCAAAAGACUUAACCUUCGUCCUAUCUUAUCGGAGGCCCCCUCUAGCCCCACCCUUCGGCAACCAACCACCUCCGAGAGACAGUGCAGUUAGCUCUAUCCUAUCUGAUAUGUGUAGUUAGUAUAACGAGGUUGAUGUACAUAUUAUGAAGGGUAUGCUGGUAUGGACCAGAUCUGAGAUCUUGUACCUACUUUGUGUUUUCGUUAUGUGAAAUGUAAUCAAGAUCCUCCCCCAAAUUAAGGUUGUGAUGUUUUUACAGGGUAGGCAUAUUUCCAGAUAAUUCUUACGCCCGCAUGCGCUAACGAAUAGAUCUCAGGUUCCUCUUGUGCUUUCAUAUCGUUUCUGCCCUGCAAGCGCGGCACGCAUGUUCAUACGUAUUUGCUUGUGCGCGGGCAAGCGUGCUGAACAGGUGGAAUAAUCGGGUUGAACUUCGAAGUGGGAUUUCUAACCAGAAACCUCGUAUAAGCGGACGACGAGUAUCAGCUUGAAUGUCCAUACCGACACAUCGAACCUCGCAGGAGGCUAAUGCCAAGAAGGAUCCCGAAUGAGCAAUUUUUUCCUUACAUAACUCUUCUCUGAUACUGUUGAUUAUUCAGAAUUUUUAACCAGAAACCUCGCAUAAGUGAACUGACAAGUGUCAGUUCGAAUGUCUCCACCGACACAUCUAACAUCGCCGGAAGCUAAUGCCGAUGAGGAUCCCGGAUGAGUAACUCCUUCUCUGCACUCUUAGAUAUUAUUGUUUCUAUUGAUUAUUCUCUUUUUCUUUAUUUUGAGAAUUGUUAUGGAGGGAAAAUCUGACUUAGCUCUGAAAUAGGAGAUGAAGGUCAGACCAUGACCCACCAUGACAUGAGAGAUGAAGAUUGAGAUGAUAAUGUUUGGUAGAUAUUAAUUGUGGCCAGUUAUAAAUUACUGCUUAAAUAAAAUAAAAUAAAAAGUUAUCAGUCUAUAUCAAAGGAGUGUGAAUCCGACUUGUCUUUCCCUUCGACUUAGUGGAUUAUGUAGGUUAAUGCUGCAUUCUUUGAAGAGCAACGUCCCGGACCAUAAAAGUCGAUGCAGUAUCGUAUUUUGUCACUUGUAAUAUCUUGAAUAUAUAAUUAAUGGAAACGACAUGCGGAUAAUUUCGACAAGCGAAAUCCACUCAAUUGGCCCGACGUCUUUGUCAUCGUGCGUUGAAAAGCAAGGAAGCCGUGUGUAUCGGAGCCUCCUACGCGAGGCAGAAAUCAUGCAGUGCGGGGUAAUGACAGAUAUCAUAAGUCGAUCAAUUGAUAUAUUGAACGACCAUCAUCGCUAGGCAAAAUCUCAGCGGUCUCGUCCGCGUUUUCGAUAAAACUUGCUAUAAUUACGGCACAGGGCUAUAAUUAGGGGCCCACCAGACUUGGGAGUCGAAAAUUCCAAAUGUGGUGGAAGAUAAUGAAACGGAGUUCAUCGUACAAACACCACUUGCCUAAGAUAAUGAAACGGAGUUCAUCGUACAAACACCACUUGCCUGGCCAAGUAGACAAGAGGAUCUUGUCAAAAAAAAAGUAGACAAGAGAACAAAGGGAAAACAGCCACCAAACAAAUUUGAAUCACAUGCACCAGACGUACGGUUCCCUCGACAGCUCUUGAAAUUCAUCGAGAGUAAUUGAUUGCUUCGGGAGUGUUGGAAUCUAUUGGCAUUCGAUUUGAUUUAGAUAAGCAUGAGGGUCCAUCUACAAGUGAGAAAACAACAUAUAUCAAAUUAACUAGAGAUGUGGAGAAUAUGCUCAAUCAUAUUAUCCGAAUUUCAUAGGAACUCAUCUGUUUUUCAGGGUUUUAUGUAGAUUUCUAUGAGAUGUUGUGAUAUAUCGCUGCCAAAUGUUCCAAUUUUAGAGUUCGGCUUCAUUGAAUCUUGGCAUGGGAUUAGUUUAGCUCAGUAGAUCAAUGCAUAUGUAUUUGUCCUCCUUCUGUGUACUUAAUUGUCAUUUAAUAGGAUCAAUAUCUCGAAUGAAGUCAUAGAAAUACAAUUUCUAUUAUUAGGUACCAAUUAGUUAUAUACUUCUCUCUCUCAUCUCAUCCAUUAUCUUAGGGUUUUCAUGCAAUAAUAGAUUGGAGGAAUAUAUAAUACAUAUAGAAGAAAUCAAAUUAAUUGAUACAUAGAUUUUUCUUUCAUAUAAGGGGCCAUGUAUAGAAGAAAUCCAUGUAUAGAUAAUCUAAAAGUAAGCAAAAGGACAUGUUGCUUACAUGUGACAGAACUUGUGUAAUAAGAAUUCUACGUCAUAAGAUGUUUGCGUGUCAUACAAUUUUGAGAAGGUGUUGAAAAAUAUGAUUGUGCAUUUGCAUAUUUAGAAAGGUUAUAGGCGCUUUGCGCAAAAUAAAAGCUAAAUAAAUUGAAGGGUCAUAUGCUUUAUAGAAAGUUGAAUAUUUGAAAUAGAGGACAGCACCCAACGGAUAACAGUUGAACAAGUUUUGUUAUGGCAAGCAUUCGGGCCUGUUGAGCCGUGGACUAUUCAGCACUUGUUGAGAAACCUUCCCAUUAUGUACUGAAGAUUGACAAAAUCUUCCUCAAGUAUUAUGAUUCCGAUGCUAAGAUUUUCAGAUAAUAUUCUUGAAGCUACUUGUUUAGACCUUAUUCAUCAGGCUCAGAGACUCGUUAGUUUAUAUAAGAAAUUCUGGUUCUCUAAGUUGAAGAUAUUGUUAUGUCAUGAUAAUCAAAGAUUAUGGUGUAAUUUGCAAGGACUAUCAAGAUAAUACACAGCAUCAAACAUAACGAGAAGUUUCCUGAUUUUAUUAUUAGUUUGGAUUUUCUGAAUCGCAACGGCUAGUAACCUUGGCUCAAAUUUCCUUCUAAAGUUAUAUCAAUUGUCCAUCUAUUCCAAAAGGAUAAAUAUCAACAUAAUCCUUCCAUAAUAACAAUUCGUGAUCCAUGUGAAAAUCUUCUGGAGACAAGAUGCUCUUCCAAACGAGGAACUCUACUUAUGGAAACCUAACAGAGAAACAGAAUCAAAGGGAGAUUCUGAUUUUUCAAUCCUAUAGAAACAAUCAAAUCUUCUCAUAUCAUUUAAGUCUAACGAGUUGAUUGAAUCCUCAAAGUCUCCAUCUAACGGUCAACUUGGAUAUUGAGUAUAAAAGGAGAUUGUGGUGCUAAAGAAAACACAAAAUUUGAAAUCUACAAUUCCAAAGUUCAAAAAAACUUCGAUAUUGCAUACUUGUCUUCAUGAGCCUAAAUUGUAAUCUUUGAGAGAUUGUUGUUGAGAGUGUGAGAUUGGAAGAUACAAUUGCACAUACCUAAGUAGAGAGUACUUGAACUUUGUAACCUCUGAUUGAUUCUCUAAUGAAAUCCAGCCAAUAGAAUAUUAGCAUGGGAAGGUGGACGUAGGCUUAUCAUAAGCUAAACCUUUUAUAAUUAUUCUCGAUCAGUCCAUCUGGCCAACGCUGAUGUGGCAGUCGGCCGGCAUUGGCGACAUUUUUUUAAUAAUAUUUUAUUUUUUAAAAAUAUUUUAUUAAUUUUAUUAAUCUUCUUUUCCUGUUUUUUUCCCCCUCUCCCUCCUUCCUCCUCCUCCUUCCCUUGGCUCCAGCGAUCGGCCAAAGGGGAGGGCUGGCCGAUCGCCGGACUGAGGCAGCCGGCGAGGCAAGCCCUCGCCAUCGCCGGGUCUAACAAGGCGAGCCCCGCCUGAUCUGGCGAGGGCUCGCGCGUCAUCCAGCGAGGGGGGCUCGCCGUCGCGUCUGGCAAGGCCCUCCUCGCCGAAUCUGGGGAGGGCUCGCCUCCCCCGGCGACUGAGAGGCGAGCCCUCGCCAGAUCCGGCGAGGAGGGCCUUACCAAACGCGAUCUACGACUACCGCGCCAAGAUCGAGGCCAAGCUCUCCAAGAUCUGCGACGGCAUCCUCAGUCUCCUCGACUCCCACCUCAUCCCCGCCGCCUCCGUCGGCGACUCCAAGGUCUUCUUCCUCUAGAUCAGUUCCUGGACUGUUGGCGAGCCCCCUUCACCGAAUCUGGCAAGGGCUCCCAUUACCACGAAAUCGCACGCCGAACCCUUGCCAGAUCCGGCGGGGACUCGCCCUGCCGCUUCUGGGCGCGCGCCAACUGGCGAGGCGAGCCCUCGCCAGAUCCAGCGGGGGCUCCCCCUGCCGUCGCUGGGUGCGCGCCAACUGGCGAGGCAAGCCCUCGCUAGAUCAGGCGGGGCUCACCUCGCCAAACCCGAUGACGACAAGGCCCCCUCGCCGAAUCUGGCGAGGGCUUGCCCCGCCGGCUGCCUCAGUCCCGCGACCGGCCAGCCCUCCCCUUUGGCCGGUCACCGAAGCCCAGGGAAGAAGGAGGAGAGGAGGAGGAAGGAGGGAGAGGAAAAAAAGAUAAAAAUAAUUAAUAAAAUAAUAUUAAAAAAAUGUCGCCGACGCCGGCCGGCCAUUUUUGGCCGAAUGGACUGAUUGGGAAUAAUAGUAAAAGGUUUAUGACUUAAUUGGUCAAAAAAAUAAGUUUAUGACUGAAUUUGCACAAUUGUAAUAGGUUUAGGACUUUUUUGGUAAUUUUCCCAUUUAUUGCACACGGUAACAUCUAAUCACUACACUAUUCAUCUUUAGACGUCCAUCAUUUGCAAUAUUGAACUUGACCUCUUUUUUUUUAAUUCCACUUAAUCAUCUAUUCACCCCUUGAUAGAUCUAGCCCCAACAAUAAUAUCUUCUGAGGAAUUGAUUAACCCAGCAAAAUCACAUUGGCCAAUUACUAUGCAAAGCCAACAAUUUUUUUAUUUGUUUUUUUUUUAUCUUUGUGGGUGUCUCAACCACUAAUUUUAAGGUGAGAUGACACUAAUUGGCUGCUUUUGAGUGGCUUUUAGCGAGCAAGUCGUGCUUUCUUCCCCUCUAAGAAGGAUAAGUUUGGGAGCCAUCCUUCAUCAAAGUCAAACGACAUAAAAGUCACGUUUUUUUUUUCUUUUCUUUUGACAAGGUACCACGUUUCUUAUAUCAGAGGCGGCCAAGACAUUAUUAGAGAAAAUGUCACAUUGUUUGAUGGCAUCACGGACUUAAAGAUGGCUUAUGUUAUAUUGUAGGGGAAAAAAUAUAGUGCUGUUGUAUAAUGUUCAUACCUCUAGUGUAAAGAUAUGUAAGCUCCUCAGCCGGAAAAAUGAAAAUAAAAUGUAAAAAUAAACCCACUAGACCCUUUUUUCUUUUCUUUUUUUUUGGGGGGGGGGGGGGGGGGGGGGAAUCACCUGAACCCUUUGGGUGGGGAAAAAUUGAACAUAUGAAAAAGGUUUUCCUCAGACCAUAUUCUUCUUCUUUAAACUAAUAUUUAAAACAACACAAAAAAUUUUUCCCUUUUGAAAAAAAAUUAUGUGAAGAAAUUGGGGCAUACAAAGUGUAAUUUUUUUCCAAAUAGGUUGGGAUGGCCAUUGUUUGAAAAAAAUUUUUUUAAAAUUUUUUUUUUCCACAAAAAAAUUUGCAUAAAAUUGCCUCAAGGAGGUGGAUGAUUUUUUUUGAACUUAAAAAUCCCCAAAAAAAAAGACUGUUGAAGGAAUAAAAAAUGCCGGCUAGCUUAGGUGAUAAUAUAUUACUCCCCUUCACAAGAGAAAUGCGGACUCACUUUCCCCGUAGUUUUUAUGCAUGNNNNNNNNNNNNNNNNNNNNNNNNNNNNNNNNNNNNNNNNNNNNNNNNNNNNNNNNNNNNNNNNNNNNNNNNNNNNNNNNNNNNNNNNNNNNNNNNNNNNUUUCGGGUCCACCCACGUCGACCCAAACAGUGGAUUUUACCAUCACAUACUCCAAUCCUUCAGGGUGGGGGUGUAUUAGAAUAUAAUAACCUACUUUUAUGACUUCUUCAGGAAUACCAAAAUGCAUGAGAGGAGGGGGAGGUACUACCAUCUAGGGACUUGAAAUGUUGUCCCACAACGGGGUGAGACUACUUCUCAACAAAUUCUACUCUCUAAGACCUAAUUAGGAAGCCAAUACGCUUUUUAAGGGCUAUCUAAGCACAACACGGGUCAGAAGACUACCAAAAUGCAUGAGAGGAGGGGGAGGUACUACCAUCUAGGGACUUGAAAUGUUGUCCCACAACGGGGUGAGACUACUUCUCAACAAAUUCUACUCUCUAAGACCUAAUUAGGAAGCCAAUACGCUUUUUAAGGGCUAUCUAAGCACAACACGGGUCAGAAGACUUACAUUGGCUUCAAUUCCAUCUUGCAAGUCAGUAUAUAAAUCGAAUAUACACAAACCACAUCAAUUCACCUAAUCAGAUCGAACUAUCGAUUAAUUGACUCAAUCGAUUACAUGUCAUCACGACUUUCCCUUGGUUGGUACAUUUAAUACUAUCUAUAGGUCCACCCAUGAUAGGACUGCUUGUUCUAAGCUAAUAAAUAGAUAGUAUAGCUUUCGUUAAGCUGAUAAAUGGUGUACUGCUCUCGCUAAGCUGACAUAUCAAUCCUUAAGUUGAUAUAGCACACGAAUAAUGCUCUCUCUAAGCUGAUCAUAUUGCUCUCGUUAAGGUGAUUGGGUAUACUGCUCUUGCUAAGCUGACAUAUCGUCUGUAGGCUGAUAUAGUAUACCUUCCCAAUUCUACAAUCAAUUCCAUCUUUUUAUCAUUCUCAAUAAAAUAGCCGUGGGUGGGGACACAGUUGGCCUUAGCCAAAAUAUCAUAAUUUCACUUUUUGAACAUCCCACUAGUUUUAACAGCUCAUAACAUAUUUUUGGCGCUGUAAACUAACAUCCGUUAAUUUUCCCAUUAAUACCAAAAUCAAAUAAUUUAGGAAUAAAAUCCUAAAAUCCCAAUCAAAUCAAUUUAGCACAAUUUAACACUCAAAUAAAUAAAUAGACCGCACAACAAUAAUCAGCAUAAAAUUUCGGUCAUUGGCUAUCCCAUCCUAAUUUUUCGAAAAAUAAUUAAAUAAAUUAAAUAAUUACGAAAAAGUAUUAUAUAAUGCAAUAAAAUCCAAUUUAGGCCCGGUAAUGCCCUGAUUGGACGGCGAAACAGACCCCAGAAAAAAUUCCAAGGGUCAUUCAAUAAUUUAAUAACACGGAGUCUACCCCGCUAAUGGUCACUAACCAUGUGUCUAACAUGCAUCGAUAAGGUACUAAAUUAAUCACUUUACUCUAAUCUAUCCAUCUAAUUGCACUUAAUUAAAUCUAAUCAGCCCCUAAACGUCAUUAACUGACUAAUAGAGGAUUAGUGAGCUAAACUCACUUGUUUAACGAGCGGUUCGGUGCAGAACGAUGGGAACGUCGUGGGGCCUGACUUUCCUUGAGGCAAGCCUAGCAACCGAAGCUCGGGACCACCUCAAAAUGAGCCUUGAAGGUGGCUGGAUACCCACAAAACUCAACCUCUAUUUUGAGCUACAAAGAUAAAGAAACAAGGUUGGUUAGGGCGUCAAGGCUCAACAGAGGUAGCGGGGAUGGUCUCAGGUCCAAAUCGGGGCAAACUGGCAGUUGAGGGAGCUUCGACGAUAGCUGCCACGGCUGGAUAGCAACCCUGGACACACGGACAAAAGCUGCUGGAUGGCGGUGAGGCGUGGCAAGGCGCAUAAGCGUGUGUUCGCUCGAGGAGGGUGAACGACGGAGGCAGUGGUGUCUGCAGCUCCAGUGGCUGUUGACUCUGGCAAUGCGGUUGGCUUCUUAUUGGUUGCUGGUGUGCCAAAAUGGAGAGGAAGGUGGAAAGGAAAGCUGGCUAGUUCCUUUGUGAGGAAGAGAGGGGGACAAUGGCUCCACCAAUGUCCAAAUUUUCCAUUAUGGUCUCCCUUGACCAUUCUCUGCCACCAGCCUUCCUUUGGCCUCCAUUAGGCCACCAAUGCAUCCCACAUGACCUUGAAAUUGUCAACUUUGGCUAGGCAAGGGGGAAGAUAUGAAUUUGCAAGUCUUCUCCCCCAAUUGAACACAUAUUCUUGCUUAAUUCAAUCUCAUUUAGCCCAUGCAAAUUCAAUUGGCACCUCAAAGAUUAAAUUUAUAUUUUUCUUCAUCAAUUGAUCCCGCUUACUUCUCAAUUGUGCAAUCAAAAAUGGUCCUGGCCUUUUUCUAAACAAAAACAUCCCUAGGAUGAAUUUUUCCCAAAAAGUCUCAAGUUGCAGAAAAAUCUUCUGAGACUAGGUCAACAUUCCUAGAAUUUAUUGUGACAUGACAAAAUCUUCAAUCUCUAAAAUUGGACUCAAUUUCGUGGUUAAUUUCCAUUUGGCAUGUUUUUAGUACGACCUAAGCUACUAGGUAGUUUUCAAAAAAUUUUAGUGCAAAUGACCUGUGAUCGAUUUUCUUCGAGCCACAAUGAACCCACUCAACACAUUGGUGACUCUCAGUUGUCGUGAAAAUCUCGAGAAUUCAAAUAUGGACACAUGGUACCAAAACGAUAGAAAAAUCAGUUUAGUAUCGAUUGACAUGUGUCACCCAUGAUUAGCCACAUAUCUCUGUCAAAUCGACCUAUCAUUGAUUUCAAAUCGAUUUUUAACUGUACUGUAAUGACCUCUAAAGAUGAGCACGGUCGAAUUCUCAAGUCUAUUGCAUUAGAAUUCCUUAAUGGCUUCCCUAGAUAGUCUAGUUAUCUCGAGAGUGAUCAGCUCUAAGAAUAGCCCUAUAGGCGCGUCAAUGAAAUGUCCGAUUUAUUCAGUAGAAAAUAGGGUUGAAAAUCUAGGAUGUCACAGAGAGAGAGAGAGAGAGAGAGAGAGAGAAAAGUUGUUUGAGGCUUUUGGUGGUUGAGUAAGAUGUUGGAUACCUUCGAACGAAAAAAUUGGUUAGGCGUAGCGAGGCGAAAGUAAGAUGACAUUGACUCUUCAGUUCCGAUCAAGUUCCCCCCCCCCCCCCCUUCAACAUCAUUUUUGAGAACACGAAAUAGACUCCCACUUUCCAUAUUCUUGUAAAUCAAGAACAUGUGUACCCAACGUAUCAAGAACUUUGGAUCACGUUUCACAUGGGUCGAACCUGAUAACGAUCAUUUAGGGAGAAUCAUAAUUUAUGAAUAGUAUCAGGAACUCUCUUUCAUAAGAAGGGUACUUAAGAUAUACAAAAAGUGCAGCAUAUGAGAUUUUAAGGCAGAAGGAAGAAUAAUUUUAUGAUUUUUAAGGUUCUUUCUUUGACAGUUUUCCGUUGAUGGGAUUCCUCAUCUUUGUGUCCUUGUGUUUCAUCAAUUCUAAUUAAUUUAAAGGUUGUGUUCAUUAUCACAAAGCUUCAAGACAUAAAUCAAUUUAUACGAUCGAGUGUCUUUAUAGUGGAUAUGUGACAUCCUGAUUUUCAAGUCCUGAUUUUGAUCGAAUAAGUUGGGCUUUUCAUCGUCACGAUUAGAGUGUUUUUUUCGGAGUUGGCCACUCACGAGAUAACUAGACCAUAUGGGGAAGUCAUUAAGAGAUUUUAAGGCAAAUAGACUUGAGAAUUCGACCAAGAAUUGACUUCUCGACCGUGCUCAUCUUUAUAGGCCAUUACGGCACAGUAAAACCGAUUUGAGAUCAGAAAUAGAUUAGUUCCACUGAGAUGCAUGACCGAUCGUGGGUGACUCCAAUGAAUUGGAAAAUUCUCGUUGACUGACACUAAUUUGAUUUUACUAUCGUUUUAGUACCCUGUGUCCGUAUUUGAAUCAUUGAGAUUUUCACGACAAUCGAGAAUCACAAUUGUGUCAAGUGGGUUCAUUGUGGCUUGAAGAAAAUCGACCAUGGGUCAUUUGCACUAAAAAGUUUUGAAAACUACCUGGUAGCCUAGGUCACACUAAAAACGUGUCGGUGUGAAAUUAACCGCCAAAUCGAGUCCGAUUUCAGAAAUUGGAAGCUCUGUCAUGUCACAAGCUAUUUUAGGAAUGUCAGCUCAUCCUCCGAGAAAUUUUCAAAGAUUCCGAGAUUUUUACGGAAAAUUAACAGAAAUUCAGAUUGGCCGAAUUGAAUAAAUUUUUGGACUUGCAAGCUGAGCUAUUUGAUGAGGGGCACUUGUGAAAAUUCUACCGGCUUUUUCUUCAUUCAAAUUGGAAGUUGAAUUGGAGAAUUUUAGGAAGAAUUGAACCCGAAGUUGUGAAAAUUCGAAGCUAUGGAAGGGGUUGGAUUUUUUUUACUUCAAAUUGGGGUAAUUUGUGGAAUAUAAAGCUGGAAAGUAUUAAGGGACUUUGAGAUAGACUUGAACACCAAAGGGGGAACCAAGCAUUUAAGUCUUUGAAUAAUCAUGUGGACUUUUGGUCUCUCUCUCUCCAAUCUCCUCAUGUCUGCUAGCUGUUUCCUUUCCACUUUCGUGCGCGAGCCUUCCUCCUUAAAACAGCUGACCACCAAGGACCCCUGCUUCUCCAUUUUUCAUUUUGUUCUUCUUCAAUUCCUGCCCAUCGUUUCUUUCAUUUGUUCCUCUUUCCCUCGAGCAAAACCGAAGCACCACCUUCCGUUUUCCCAAUCCACCAAAGCUUCAUUCAACGUAGCAAGAUCCCAAGCGGUUUUGUUGACUCCAUGCUCGCUGCUCCAACAUCGGUCCCUCUUCGUCCCUGCUCCACUACCGAAUCAAUCUAGCGAAGCUGAAGCAGCUCGCCUUCUCUCCACUUUUGCUUAUCCCCUCUGCCGCGUGUCUCCUGGUUGUCUGCCCAACAACCUCAAGCAGCUUCAUCUUCGCUGCUUCGUUCUUCUUCAACGUCACUACUUGAAGACUCCAACGAAGUAGCUGUCCACGAAGACUGAAACACCCCCUAAUUGAGAGCUGCAACCACGGGUCCCAGCAUUUCCUUUCGUUCGUUGCUCCUUCGUCCAGCAUCGAUCAACCAAAGCAGCACCUCCAGCGAUUCGGCCCAGCACAUUUGUGCGUCUUCAGCCCACACAAUUUCAGCCCAAAUUCGGUCCAUCUCAGCUUGAGUGAGCCCAGCAGUUGGGCCAUUGGAAGCCCACGAAAAUUUGCAGCAAUCCAGCCUAGUGAAGCAAUUACUCAGCCCAUUAAAUAAGUCCAACAGCCCAAGUCUUAGCCCAGUAGCAAGCCCACGCCUUGUAGAAACCCAGCAAAAUCAGAAGCCCAUGAUUUUGAGGCCCAAGCCCGCGAAGACUACCCGCUUUAGGCCCAGUCCAAUUCAAAAGCAAAUCUCAGAUUGGACUGAGAUUUUUUGGGCCUGUUUGAGGCCCGGCCCAAGUCCGCCGACGCCGCCAAAGAUUCAGAUUUUGGCCGCCAUCACACCGUCGUCGCAGUGAACCAGUAUUCGUAAUUAACCAGUGAGUUUAUACUCUAAACUCUGCUUAGUAGGCUAAUGACGUUUAAGGGGUAUUUAGAUUUAUUUUAUUAGGAAUUAGGUGGUUAGUUAGAUUAAAUUAGAAAUUUAAUUAUUUAAUUGAGCAUGUUAGGUGGUUAGCAUGGUUUAGCUAAGAUUUAAAUAAAUUGUACUGUUUAUCUAGAAGGGUUCGGGAAUUUUCUAAGUCCGUAUUGGUAUUUAAUUUAAUAAUGUUGGCCUAGGUUAGUAUUUUUAGAAAUUAAAUUGAAUUAAUUAUUUAUUUAUUAUUUUUCUGGAAAUUAGGCCGGGAUAGCUAGUGACCGGAAUUUUGUGCUAGUUGCAAUGGCAUGGUUAAAUUCUACAAUUGAGUGUUAAAUUAUGCAAAUUGAGUGCUGAUUGAAUUUUUGGUAGUUAAUUCCAAAAAUUGUGAAUUUCCAAUAUUUAUCUAGAAAAUCCCAGGUGUCGAGUUUUGGCACCGAAAAUAGUUUUUAGUACUAUAUGAAAUAGUGGGAUUUCAAAAAAGGAAGAAUAUCAAUUUUUCUGGAUCAGGUUGACUGUGUACCCACACACGAGUAAUUUCAUGUGAAUUUCUAAUAUGAGGAAAAAGGCCAUGCUUACCAUUUUAAUUGAAACAUUUGAGUACAAUGCAAGGUGCCCUAGGUGAUAUUUGAGUGAUCGUGUAAUGGUUAAGAGAAAUCAUCCCGAGCUGUUAAGCUGGACGUUAUCCCUAUUCGGGAUACCCCCUGGACAACGGAAAGCCGGUCGCAGUAGAUUCUAGACCCUAUGCUCCUUCAGGAAAGCCGUCUGAUAAAGAGACGUGCCGUGCUCAAUGGGGUGAGACAAUGCUUGGCAAUGCCAGAAGACCACCGAACAAAGAGUAGACCGUGCUAUAUGCCGAGAUCAAAACUAGAAAUGCAUAAUUAAUUGAGUGUGGCGUUUUAGUUAUUGGAGCUUAUUUGUUGCUCAUGCUCUCAUGUUGUCUGUGAGAUAAAUUGUACUGACCUGUAGGGUGAAUCUGAGACGAUGUAAGUUUCCUUGAUUGUGUGAUUGUGUGAUUAGGAUACUUUUGGGCGAAUUUCCCUCCUAAUCGGGGUUUAGAGCUUAGACUCGCUGAGAUGAUAUCUCACCUCGUUGUAGGACAACAUUUUCAGGGUCAUCGAGUGGAGGACUGGGAGCCGAGAGGAGGUGAUGUGAAGUGUAGGUCAGCUAAGACCGUCUCUUUUUGGAAAGUUGGUUUUUCGUAUCCUGCUUUUCUAUCUCGAGAUGAUUAUUGUUAGGGGAUUUCUUUUUGCUUCCGCAUGUACAAUAAAAUAGAAAGGGUUGGCGACUCGUCUUGAGAAGUCGCAAAUUAUUAUUGACUAGGUAGGAAUGGGCACGCGCUCAGGUUCGAGGCGUGACAGGAUAAACUCUGAUUCUGCUACAUCGUGAUUGCGAAGUCGCAGGCCUUCCAUCGUACACUUCACGUUUAAAUAAUGAUGAUUCAAUUAGUGCGCUUACAUAUGGAAGCUGGACAAAUUCAAUAAGUCAAGGUCUUCGUCCAGCAGGCACCUCAAAAGUCAACAAGUCAAGGUCUUCGGACAUGUAUUGAUUGCUGGACGAAUCCACACGAUUCGUCUAGAGUAAUCGUCGUCUUUUGUUGUUUUCGUGAUGUCGGACCUUUAGCCAUCGAAAAGGAAACGUUGGUCAAUUUGCCGUCUUUGAUUGACUAGCAAGCCUCAACUAAACCGAAACGAUCCGGAAUAAUACGCAGGGAAUAUUCUUAUGUUGCCAAAUAUUCAUGGCAACGACAACACAUUAUCACUUAUCAUACAUUCUGAUCUUAGUAAAAUGAUGAAAAAUAAACAACUGUCCGACAAAAUGCUUCUUCACUCCUUAGUAAUAGCUACUUAGGUAAAUUCUAGCCUAGCUAGUAUAGAAAUUUUUUGACGUGACUUAAAAUUGCGGAAGCAGUAUACUUGAUAUAGCUCAAACGCGUUCGGCGAUUCGCAGGAUCAUUGUAUCAAUCAACUCUUCACUUGUUGGAAUUUAGUUGCUAGUAUUGGGACAAGUACUUCGUGGUCCUUGCUCUUUUUUGGGGCUCGACGAAGUUCCAAUGAUCCACCUUCCCACCAUACUCAUUGAUUAUUUUCUUGGAGCUGCGAAGUGAAAUUGAAUGGAAUGGCUGGGCCAACGCAAGUCUUGGAGCUAGAAAAGCUUUCCAAACUCGUUUCAUUGUGGGUCGUGACUUCGGAUCACUUCUUAAGCAAGUAAGCACCAGAGAAAUUACCAAAAUGAUAUAUCUUGCGAUGGAAUUCGCUCUUGGGAUUGGCAAGCGCAGGUCUAAUAUUUGAUGUAGCAUAAUUUUUUUUCUAACGAUUGUCGAGGGUGCUCACCCAUUAUUAUUUCCAUUGUUACCACCCCAAAACUUUAUGUGUCACAUUUCUCAUUAACAACCAAAGUGUAAGCAAGCUCUGAAAAAAAGAACAAAAAGUUUUAAAAUUAGAUGAGGCUCAAAAUCAAGUUGUCAAUUUAGCUAAGCACUAUCAACCAAAUAUAGCCAUGUACCUCUAGUAAAAACAUUCUAGAAGUGUCAGGAUCAUUGCUCACCCGGUGCUGUUCACCACAUGAGGGGUAAAAUAUAUCAAAUAUAGCCAUGUACCUCUAGUAAAAACAUUCUAGAAGUGUCAGGAUCAUUGCUCACCCGGUGCUAUAUGUCCACGAAAACCUACAAUAUUUGUGUGAGAUUGGAUGAGAAAUUAGGUUUUAUUACCAUGCUGAAGUUUGUUACGAAAGCUUGUAAUUUGUUGUUGAGCAAAAUAUUGUUCCUAGAUAUGUCAACAAUUGGCCAAGCACAAUCAUGGUACAAGUAAGACAAGGCAUGUGUCAUAUCCUAAACAACAUUGAUUCUUUUAAACCAAUCUAGUUCCACUGCUUCAAUUUCAUUUCUCAAAGCAUAAAAUAGACUCUCCCUUUUCAUGUACUCAUAAAUCAAGAACAUGAAUCGCUUGUGUAAAUAGAAAUCAUGGAGCUUAAUUAUGCUUCUAUGUCAUACUUAUGUUAAGUGUUUCACUUCAUUUCGGAAGCUCUUGUCAAAAGAUGGGUCCUUUGUUUCUAGAUAGUGAAGUUUUUUCAAUGCCACUAUUUUCCCAUUGGGCAAGUGUGCUCUAUAGACACUAUCAUAAUUGCUGGUCCUGAUGCAAUAUUUGAUGGUAAAAUCUUCUAUUUUAUUAAUUAUGUCUUCAUUUGCAGUUCUCCCAUCAUAAUUACAUAUUGACAAGAAAAUUUCCAUUUUUUUCUACUAUCUCUAAUCACAUACUCUUCAUUCUACAUCCAGAUAUGAAGCAAGACCCAAGAAAUAUCAGUAGUAUAGCCAUAAGUUAUGUAAUCAAGUCAUAUCCAAAACCUUACACAUGAUAAUCACAGUUAUAAGCUUAAUGGUAGGCAUUCUUCUGGAGCCUUUCAAAAUUAAUCUUUUAGGUUAUUUUCUCCUUAAAGUGGAAGCCUUUCAAUUUAGAAUUAUGCUCAAAAUUGAUCAAGCUCUUAGGGCUCUACCUUAGGGUUUCAAUUGUCUUUAGAGAUGAAUGCCCUUAAUGCAUGCUUUCUGUAUGUUGAUGGUUUCCCUUUGUCUUAGUUAGCAAUGGCAUGCUCCUUAUUUGAUAAUGCUAGAUUCUUACUCUCCUGAUGCAAUUUAUCUGAUGUGACUCCAGUCACUGAUUGUUAUAUUACUGUUUGUGCAAGCGUAUGGUCACUUUCCAUGUUAGUGGAUUGGUCUAAAAUUAAUCUAAACAACCUGACAAAUAUAUAUAUAUUUUCAAAUAAACAAGAUUAGGUACCGAAAGAGCAAUAAUUAUUUAAUUAGCGUAAUCAAGUCAUUGACCUUUAGAUUUUCUAGUUAUGUAGGAAGUGAAAUACAUUUUUAUGUCUCACUUAAUUUCUAGCCGACCCCAAUAGGCUAGUAGUGACUUUUUUAUUACAAAAUUCUUAUGAACAUCCCAAUGUGCAGAAGGUAUGGGCUUGGGAGAGCCCAUGCCUUCCAUCUUUUAAGCAAUAUUCCUAAAUCUAUUCCUUGUCCUGAAGGGGAACUCGCAACAAUCACAUGUCACAAGUCAUUGAGAAAGGUCCUCCCCCGGAUGUAACACGGCGGAUGCAAUUUCUCCUUUAUUUACUUUUUCUCUAGCAUUUUGUCUUGUUCUUCGAAAGACUUCCAGACGCCUCGAAGUCUUCUUGCACCGAGAAAGCGGUACGAGUCUCAUAUCACCGUCGCCACAUCUCCCUAUACUCGACAUUACAUGGUCAUGAGGCGUUGGGCCCAUGGUUUUAGUGUAGAUACAACCCAAACGUGCAUGAAUCAGAUGCACAAGAUCCCACUAAAUUUCAAUUGUUAGAUGACGGUUGUCUUAUAUUUCUUGGGUUCGAGUACAGGCCAACCGUGUCUAAAGCGAGCGUGAAAACGAAAAGGUCUUCUCACAGGUUAGUACGAGGCACGUUCAAUUUUAGUGGCGUAACACAUGUUGCUUUUGUUUGAUCUCAUAGAAGGGGGACUUCGCAUCUAAUAUAUAGGAGAAAAAGUGGAUCUGCAAUAGGAUUAACUAAUUCACAAGCAAAGGACAAUACAAAUGAGUGAGUCUUAAGCUGAAGUAUUCUAAGAAGCUUACAUCCUAAAGAAGUUUCGGCCCCUCCGUCGAGAAAUAAUAAUACUCCUUCAAAAAUCAAUAACUUUCAACGAUUCAAUCAGAACUUAAACCACCAACAGGCAUGCUACCUUGUUGGUAAAGGGAUUGAGGGGUGGGGUCCAAGAGUACUGGACCCGAUGUUUGAUCUCCAUGAUUAUCGCAUAUACAUGUACAUAGAAGAGAGGAUAGAAGGGAGGAGUGAGAAAAAAAAAGUCAGAACUUAAAUGAGAACGCAUUUUUUCAAUGGUACUUGUACCCGUUCAUCAAGAAGUCAAGGUCUUAUGUGGAGAGUAUGCAAUUCGAGUGUCACUAGAAGUCAUGGUCUUCGUGGUUUUAUGUGUAGAUUUUCGGACCGCGAGAACUACAACAUGCAGCGGGUCCUUUGGGGUUUCAUAUGUUGAUUUUCUGGACGACUACGUGUUUCAUGGUUCGUGAGAAGUGAUUGCCUUACAGAGACUUUUUGCCGAUGUUUGGCCUUGGAAAAUACUCAUCUUUUAUGGAGCGAAAUAUUAUAUCAAAUACACUUACUCUAUGAGUUCAUCUGAAUAUAAUCAAUUACAUUAUGGAAAUUGUGAAUGGAUACUCGUGUUUUAUAUUGGAACUAGAGUCGGUUUUGUCUUUUCUUGAUGUAUUGUUCAUUGAAAAGAAGAAAAAUAAACGGACGUCAUAUAUAAACUGCAUCUCACUCUUACAGCAUAGAAUGGAAAAGAGUUUAACAAGACUUACUAAUUUGCAGAAGCCAUACAAUUUUAUAUGCUCGAUCAUAUUCACCAAAUUGCAGCUUCAUUAUCAAUUGUCUCUUUACUAGACAAGCACUCAAUGACCCUUACUCCUCACUCUGUCCUGAUGAAGCUUCUGUUGAUUCACCUUCCAACCGUGAUCUAUUAACAUAUCGGAGCUGAGCCAGUGAGAUCUCAUGGAAGGGCUUCGCCAAUGGUGACUUUCGAGCUAGAAAAGCUUUUGAGACUUGCUUCAUAGUUGGUCGAGACUUUGGAUUAGCACUCAAGCAAGCAAGCACUAGAGAAACUAUCAAAACAAUACUUCUUGCAACAGAGUUCUCUCUUGGACAAGGCAACCGCCUGUCUAGAAUUUUAUGUAGCAUUAUCUUCUCUAGAGGAUGUCAACAAGAUAGAUAUAAUAUCUCCUGGAUGCUCACCCAUCAUUGUUUCCAUUGCUACCACUCCAAAACUAUAUACGUUGCAUUUCUCAUUAACGACCAAAGUAUAUGCGAGCUCUGAAAAAAAAAUUAGUAGUUGAGGCUUUGGACGGGAUGACUACACCCUUAACUGCCCGCCCCGUCGCUGCACCUUGAGAGGCAACUUUUCCCUCUCCAUCGUGCCCCGCAUAACCAUGUGCGGCACCCCAUACUGCCCCAUUUGCCCCUCCAAUUUUCCUUUCAAAGCAGUUAUUUUAUUUCCACAACAAAAUGUUUAAUAGAAAUGAAUGACUUAGUAAUACCAAUAUGGAUGUAAUACAAAAUCCAAAAAUCUUACUAUUCCGACAUGCUUUUACUUAGAUGCAACAUAAAAAUAUAGUUUGAGACAUUUUUAUUCUAAAAUAAGUAACCUAGUAAUACUAACAAUAGUAGCAUACAAAAUAAAUAUUCAUUUUCCGAAAAUAUAUAAAUAUAUAGAAAUGAAUAAAAUGAAUACAGGAGUCAGAGCCACGGCGUAAAAGGUGGUUCCGAGGGGACAUUUUGCCAAUCGUGGCACAACCAAUCCUUAGCUAAUGUUGGCAAGUACAAUAACAGUCUACAAGUCACUGAUGUGCAUGGAUAGCGAAACUUCUACAAUGUCGUUUAUUUGACUUCUACCUCUAGUAGUAACUUUCAGGGUAAUAUAUAUAUAUAUAUAUAUAUAUAUAUAUAUUUGCAUAGGUGCCAGCGAUAUUUGCAGUGAAGUUAGAUGAGGAAUCAUGACCUAGAAGUCUCGCGGUGCCAAAAUCUGAUACAAAAGCUUGCAUUUUACUGUUGAAUAAAAUAUUAUUGCUAGAUAUGUCUCGAUGAACAAUUGGCCGAACACAAUCAUGGUGCACGUAAGACAAAGCAUGUGCUGUAUCCUAGAUGUAUCCUAGACGAGAUUGACUCUUUUGGACCAAUCCAAUUCCACGGCUUCAAUACCAUCUCUCAAAGCACAUAAUAGACUCCCAUUUUCCAUGUAUUCGUAAACUAAGAACAUGCAUCACCUAUGUAAGCAGAAACCAUAGAGCUUGAUUAUGCUUCUAUGCCUUAUUUCUGUCGAGUGUUUCACUUCAUUUCGAAAGCCCUUGUCAAAGGAUGGGUCCUUUGCUUCGAGAUGGUGAAGUUUCUUCAAUGCCAAAACUUUCCCAUUGGGCAAUCGUGCUCUAUAAACGCGAUUAUAACCACCAAUCACGAUGCAAUAUUUGAGAUUGAAGUCCUAUGUUGCAUCAAUUAUGUCUUCAUAAGCAAUCCUCCCAUCAUAAUUCCAUGUUGACAAGAAAUUUCCAUUUUUCAAUGUAGUCUCCGGUUGCUCUGUUUUGUUGCACGUCAAAAUAGAAAGCAAGAUCCGACCACUAUACAAGAAAUCGCAGCCAGUGGAAUGAACACCGUCAUAUAAUGAAUUACGCUAGACCUUCUUCUGGGGGCUUGGGUUUCAUGAAAUAGGUUCAAAUCUUUAUUGCCGAGAAAAGCAGUAUCAGGAAAAACAACCCUAAGAUUAUUUGGAAUGGAGCUAGAAAGAGAAUUGUUGUGAAGAUCGAGAUAGAAUAACAAGCUCAGUUUCCCAAGUUCAACAGGGAUUUCCCCGACCAAGUUGUUGGAGCUCAAAUCUAGUUGUUCGAGAUUCCUUAAAUCUCCCAUUUUCAAUGGGAUGGCACAAUCAUUCUAUUUUCACAUAAACUCAAGUUGACCAAGCUCUCCAAAUUGCCUAUUUGUGACGAAAUACAUCCACCGAGUUCGUUUUCUUGCAAAUGGAGAUAAAUCAAGCUCAUCAAAUUCCUUAUUUCUGGAGGAAUAGAUCCACUCAGUUGGUUUCCUCGCAAAUCGAGAUAACUCAAGUUCCUCAAAUUCCCUAUUUCCGACGAAAUAGAUCCAUCAAGUUGGUUUUCUUGCAAAUCGAGAUCGGUCAAGCUCAUCAAAUUCCCUAUUUCCGAAGGAACAGAUCCACUGAGUUGGUUUCCUCGCAAAUCGAGAUCAGUCAAGCUCAUCAAAAUCCCUAUUUCCAGAGGAAUAGAUCCAUAGAGUUGGUUUCCUUGCAAAUUGAGAUCAGUCAAACUCACCAAAUUCCCUAUUUUUGAAGGAAUAUAUCCAUAGAGUUGGUUUCCUUGCAAAUUGAGAUAAGCCAAACUCACCAAAUUCCCUGUCCAAAGGAAUAAAUCCACUGAGUCAGUUUCCUCGCAAAUCAAGAUCAAUCAAACUCGUCAAAUUCCCUAUUUCUAGAGGAAUAGAUGCAUAGAGUUGGUUUCCUUGCAAAUUGAGAUUAGUCAAACUCACCAAAUUCCCUAUUUUCGAAGGAAUAGAUUCAUGGAGUUGGUUUCCUUGCAAAUUGAGAUCAGUCAAACUCACAAAAUUCCCUAUUUCCGGAGGAAUAGAUCCAUUGAGUCAUUUUCCUUGUAAAUCGAGAUCAGUCAAGCUUGUCAAAUUCCCUAUAGAGGAUGGAAUGGGACCAGUGAAGUUGUUGAAACUUAAAUCAAUAGAAUCCGUUUUUGUGAGGUUCCCAAGUUCAAGAGGGACAAAGCCACUUAAAUUGUUCAAGCUAAAUCCAAGGAAUCGUAAAUUGUGCAAGCGACCAAUAGUUAGAGGGACUGCACCAUUAAGAAAAUUGAACUCAAGAUUCAAGGCGUUCAAUCCCUCCAAAUUUUCCAACUCAUGAGGGAUAGAGCCAUUGAUGUAAUUACCACCGAUAUCAAGAAUUUGAAGCCUAGUGAGGUUUUGGACACAUGGAGGCAACUCACCAGUGAGGGAAUUGGAGGACAAGUCAAGGUAAGUUAGCCUCGAUAGAGUACAUAUUUGAAGGGGGAUUUUGCUAGCUAGUCCGUUAUAAGAUAAAUUAAGUAAGGUGAGGCUCGGAAGUCAAGAGAAGUUCAUGUUGCUGAAGUUACCGCCUAUUUGGUACCCAUAUGACAAGCGAAUCCCGUUGACGCUCCCAAAGGCAUCGCACAAUACCCCAGGCCACACGCAAUGAGGUAAGGUAGUGUUGUCGGUGACGGGGGAAGGCCACCACCCGCUGUAGAGAAGUGCAUUUGCCUCUGACUAUUUAGAAGGUGCUGGUGCUACAAGAAUUGAAUUGUAGUAGGAGAAAGCUAUAAUGAUCAGUACAGCUAAGGACAUGUUGCAGAUUAUGCUCAUCAUGUUGCAGCUCUAGUCACUUGUUAUUGCCGUAUUCUUUGGAUUACGGCAUUUAAAGAGUAAAGCGAGAAACUGUAGCAACGCCUUGAAGGAAACGCGAUUUCCACAAUUCAAGUGCUAUCUUUUUAUUGACUUGACACUUAAUCUAACUCUUUUAUCCUUGCCUCCCCUCCUUUUUCUUUUGAGAUGAUGGAGUUGCCAUCAACUAGUAGGGCUGUAAAAGAGGAACUAAUUACUAAAAAUUGAAUUAGGUUGUGAAGCAAUCCAAGUUUCAGCACCCCCGCAAACCAAAAACUAUGUAUCAAAUAUCUUCACUACUUUUUAUGUCCUUGCAUAGUCACAUUGCUUCAUCAAGGGGCUAUUCUAUUAUUUCGAACCCAAAAAAAAGGAAGGAAAAAAGGAUCUUUCUUUCCGUGCUCUUAAAUUCCUAAAAGAGUUGGUAANNNNNNNNNNNNNNNNNNNNNNNNNNNNNNNNNNNNNNNNNNNNNNNNNNNNNNNNNNNNNNNNNNNNNNNNNNNNNNNNNNNNNNNNNNNNNNNNNNNNUCUUCAUCGGGUAUGAUUUUAUGCCAACAUAAAAUGAGCAAUAAUAAUAUUAUAACGUUUUAAGUAAUCAUUAAGUUUCAUAAUUUUUAGCUCACGUCAGUUACAUAGGUGAUUCUUUUACUAGAAAUUCAUAUGUAGCGUUGAUUCCUGGCAAUCAAUUGGAUGGUUUAAUAUUAAAUUAUUGCCAUAAAGAAUUUUCAAGUUAAAAAACCGUUAUUGUAAUUUUAGAUAUUCGGUUUUUAAAAGUUACACCUCUAAUUUUCAAGCAAACAAAAUAUUCUGCUCUUGUAAAUCUCUGAAUGUUGCAGUUUUGUGAUUCAAUUAGAAUUUAAACAAGCAUACUGGCCAAAAGAAAAGGAUUUAAACCAUGUAAGGAUGGAUUUUGUAAACAUCCAUCAAGAAGUCAAGAUGUUUUGGGGUUUUACGUGUGUUGACUUUUGAUUAGUAUGUGGUCAAUGGUUCAUGGGAAGUCAAGGUCUUUAUGAUACUUUUACCGGGUGAUGUUUGGCCUUAAAAAUUUCUAACCCAUCGUAAGGGAAAGGUCAUGGACCAAUUUUUCAGCUUUUUCUUCUUUUGACAAACAAGCCUUCGACUUAGAAAGAGAAAGAUCCUUGUAAUUCCAAUCACACUGUAAAUAUCGAAUCACAUUGUGCAUCAAUGAUAGUAACCCUAUUGGAAUCAUUUCUCAAAGCACGUAGUAGACUUCCCCUUCCGUCGUGUACUUGUAAACCAAGAACAUGCAUCACUUGUGCAAGCAGAAACCAUGAAGCUUCAUUAUGCUUAUAUAUCAUACUUUUGUAAUUGUUUCACUUCAUUUAAGAAGCUCUUGCCAAAAGAUGGGUUCCCCGUUUCAAGAUGGUGAAAUUUCUCCAGUACCACGAUUUUCCUUGGGCAACCACGCCAUAUAGAUACUACCAAAACAUCCACUCACUAUGCCAAUAUAUGAUGUUGAACUCUUCCGUUGAAUUGAUUAUGCCUUCAUAUGCAAUUCUCCCAUAUAAUUCCUUAUAACAAGAAAUCUCCAUGUUUCUCUGAUGCCUCUAAUUGCAUGCUUUUGUUGUACAUUGAAAUACGAAGCCAGGCCUAACAACUAGAUGGGGAAUUUGUGACAUCCUGAAUUUCAGGUUUUCUUUUCAAUUGAAUAAGUUGGGUUUUUUAUCGACGUGCCUAUAAUUCUUUUUCCUUGAGUUAAUCACUCAUAGAAUAACUAGUCUAUUUGAUGAAGCUGUUAAGGGAUUUUAACGCAAUAAACUUAAGAAUUCGACCAGAAAUCGACUACUCAACCAUGCUAAUCUCUAAUGCUCAACCGUGCUAAUCUCCAAGGAUCAAUAAGGCACUAUCAAAUUGAUCAGAGAUUAGAGAUAGGUCAAUUCGACUGAGGUAUGUGAUCAAAAUGUGAGUGAUUCCACCUAAUUGCAAAAUUCUCGUCAAACGGCACUAAACUGAUUUUUCUGUCAUUUUUGUACCUUAUGCCCGUAUUUGAAAUCUCGAGAUUUUCAUGACAAUCAAAAGUUGCCAAUGAAUCGAAGAUGUAUAAUGUGGCUCGAAAAUAAUUGAUCACGGGUCAAUUGCACUAAAAAAUUCCUAAAAACUACCUGGUAGGCUAGGUUACGCUAAAAUCGCACCCAGUUGAAAUUAACAACAAAUUUAAACCCGAUUUUAGAAAUUGAAAGUUCUAUCAUGUUAUGAUUUAUUUUAAGAACGUCGACUCAUCCUUCGAAGAUUUUUCAGCAAACCCGAGAUUUCCGUGAAAAAUCAAAGUUGAGUAUUUGACUGGGAAAUACAGGCGUUUUUGUCGCAUUUUUGGCGUCAGUUGGUCAUGACAAGGAAAAAUCAUGAGAUAGACGAUGGCACUUGGCUGAUUUUAUGGACUCCAAUUUGAGUCUAAUUUGAGGGGAAUUGAGUGAAAAUAAAGGUCAAAUGCCACAAAAUUCGUAGCUAGGGGGUGCUGCAACUUUAUGGACCAUUUGGGAGACUUCUUGAGGAAGCCAUGGAGGGGAAAUUGGCUGAGGAUGACAGCCUUGGCUGGUGGGGGCAAGCAAUGAGCACAAUGGGAUAUUUUCUUGGACUUUUGAGGCAAUUGGGCCCCCUUCAAGCUUCAGCUGGCUUCUUCUUCUUCAUUAGGCCUCCUUUAUCCAUUGUUGAGGCAUUUGAGAGCUUGAGACAAACAAAGAAUAGCCAGCAGCUUCCUCCUUCACCGUCGACCGCCUCCCCUACCGUCGCCGUGCCCAUCGCUGCCACUCACGAGCCGCACACCAGCUCACGCACCGUCCGCCGUCCUGCAUUGCUCGUGUGCCUUGGUUUCUAUCCUGAGCUACCCAAGCCACUAUCGCAGCUCACCUAGUCGUCGUCCAUCCCCGUUCAACCACCAUCCGUCACCGUCAAGCCAGCUUAGAGUCAUUGCAGCCACCGCCACCCAUCCCGUGCCGUUUCAACUGCUCAACCCAGCCUUUCUCGGCCCAAAGCAAAAGCUAAAGCUCAGCCCCAAGCUAAGGCUUCGUGGCUCAUUUUAAGGCCCGUCCAGACCUUCGUUGGUGUCGUCGUAGGCUCGAGUGUUACUCACCUUUGCAUCACCAUUGCCGUCGAUGAUCCCUAGGUUGCAGCACAUCCAGUUGAUAACCGGCCCACUAAACAGGUGAAUUUACUUGUUAAACUCUGCUUAAGGAGUUAAUGACGCUUAGUGGAUAAUUAUUUUAGGCUAAUUAGGGAUUAUGUGGUUAAUUAGUUUGGAUUAGUGAUUUAAUUUCUUAAUUAUGCAUGUUAGGUUGUUAGAAUAGAUUGAUUAUGGGCUCAAGAGGUUGUGCUAUUUAUCUAGAUAGGUGCAUUAAUUUUCUAGGCCCGUUUAGGUGGUUAGAUUAGUGUUUCCAGCCUAAGUUAGUAUUUAUUGGAUUUAAAUUGCGUUACUUAAUUAUUUUUGCUAUUUAUUUCAUCAUUUAAUAUUUUCCAAAAAUUAUACCGGGAUAGUCCGUGACCAUAAUUUCGUGCUGAUUGCAGUGGUGUGCAUAGUUUAUGCAAUUGAGUGUUAAUUUAUGCAAAUUGAGUGGUGAUUGUGAUUUUGAGUAUUUAUUUCAAUAUUUAAUUAGAAAAUCCUGUGUCACGCCCCGAACCUCGAGUGCGUGCACAUCCCUCGGUGGUCGAUAACAUUUGCGACGUCCCAAGAAGUGUCACCGACCCAUUAAUUUUAUUGCACAUGCAAUAGCGUAAUAACAAUCUCCAACCAACAUAAAAGUGGGAUAGAAACGUAGGAUAAUAUUUUCACAAAACACACUUAUAAUACAGCAACGUUUAUAUACAGAAAAGUCUAACACAACAUGGGUCUAUUUCAAAAUGAAGAGCUACUAGGCUAUCUACGUUUUAAGCUCCUCGUCCACGUGACCACAGUCCCCUAUGACCCUAUCAGACUUCUAGAUAUCCAUAGGGUGAACUGUCACCCACCGUCCAGUCCCAACGGAAUGCCCGUCAAAACCUAGUAGGGGAUAUAGAGGGACGUAAACUCCACCUUAUGGCGAAAGGGUAUAAUCAACAUAAACGAAUUGAUUAUGAGGAAACCCUUUUUCCUUUAGUGAGAAUUAUCUCAAUUCGCGUUAUUUUGACAAUAGUGACUAAUAUGAAUAUUGAAUUACAUCAAAUGGAUAUAAAUACUACUUUUUUCAACGGAGAAUUAGAAGAACAAAUUUAUAUAGAACAACCGUUGGUUUCAUUUCAAAAGGUUAAGAACAAAAGGUAUUUGAUAUCAAUAUAUGGCUUUAAGCAGUCAUAGAGACAAUGAUGUAUAUGUUUUCAGAAUGUUAUAAUUGCAUAUGAUUUUACAAUGAUUGAUGAGGAUUAUUGCAUAUAUAUCAAAAGGUCCAAAGAUUAAUUGUGAUUAUAUCAUUAUAUGUUGAUGAUACACCAAUUGCCAGAAGCAAUAUGGACUUUGUUGAUACUAUUAAAGUUUGGUUAUCUUUCAACUUUGAGAUGGGAGAUAUGGAUGAGGCUACAUAUAUUUUUGGAGUUAACAUUUUCAAUGGAUCAUUCUAAGAAAUCAUUAUAUCUUUUACGAGAGACCUAUAUAAAUACAGUUCUUGAACGAUUUCGUACGCAAGACUAUAAACCCAUAAAUAAAUACUAUAAACCCAUAAAUAUUCUUAUUGCAAAAAGUGAAAGAUUAAGCUAUAGACUAUGUCCAAAGAUUCCACAAGAGAAGGAACAAAUGCAAUUACUUUUUUAUACUAGUGUUGUUGUAAGCUUAAUGUACGUUAUGAUGUGUACAAGACCUAGCACAUGUUUUGUAGUUAGAAUGGUAAGUAGGUAUCAAUCAAAUCCAAGUCAAGUAUAUUGGACAGCCAUCAAAAGAAUACUAAGGUAUCUGAAUAGAACUAUUGAUUAUUCAUUGAGUUAUCAAAAAAAUGAUCUGUGGCUUGAAGGUUACUUUGAUGCUGAUUGGGAAGGAGAUUUACAUGAAAGGAAAUUUACCUAUAAAUUUAUUUUCUUACUUAAUAAUGAUGUUAUAUCUUAGAGUAGUAGGAAACAAAUGUGUAUAGCCUUGUCCAUUAUAAAAGCCGCGUUCAUGGCAUUAUCAGCAGUUGUACGAGAAAAUGUUUGGUUUAAGAGAUUUUUGGAUCAUUUAGGCGUUGCCAAGAAUGUUGUAAGCUCAUUGUAGGUUAACCGUGAUACCCAAGCACCGAUAGCAUGCACCAAAGAUCUGGAACAUCAUAGCAAGACCAACCAUAUGGAUACCAAGUACAACUUUAUUAAGGAUACGAUUACACAAAAAGAUGUGAACUUAUAAUACAUAUCUACGCAUAGAAUAAUAGUAGAUUCUAUAACAAAGCUAAUACUUAGAGAUGUUUUCUAUGGUCAUGUAAAAUCUUUAGGACUGUGUAGAGGCCGAUGUACCGAAUAUUACAAUUUCCUAAGGUGUUCACAUUUAAUGAAGUUAUCUUUUCAUUAUUAAUGCCUAUGAUUUUUUUUAUUUGACGUUUAUGCAUCUUAAUGCUUAGUGCAUUGUAGAAUUGAGAAAGUAUGUUGAAUGGAUAAGAGAUUAGCCUAUUCACACAUAUAAUCGCCUCUAUUUACUGUAUGAUAAAUAGAGAUGAAACAAUUUUUAAGCUUAUUAUCUGGAUGAUAAUUGAAAGCUCAAGUUUAAAAUAUAGAUGUUGCCUUAACUAAGUAUUAAGAUAAGAACAUAAUAUUUACUAUAUUAUAAAAUAAAAUAACCCACAUAUUUUAUUUUAUCUAUCUUUGAUGCCAGAUGUGAGUUCUAAUGAAUUCUUUGAAAGAGUAGAUACGUGAACUCAAGUUAAAUAUUAGGUANNNNNNNNNNNNNNNNNNNNNNNNNNNNNNNNNNNNNNNNNNNNNNNNNNNNNNNNNNNNNNNNNNNNNNNNNNNNNNNNNNNNNNNNNNNNNNNNNNNNAUACUAGUGUUACCUCAAAUGAAGUAAUUAUCUGACAUGAUCGGUCAUGAGACUAAAAACUUACUAUCCUAAUUGGAGUUAGACUAAUAUAGAACUUUUGUAUAUAAUAAAAUAGAGCUAUUUGAAACUUUCAAUUCGAAUAAUUUUCAUGGAUUCGUGCAAACCUCUUUGAUGAGGUGCAUAAUUUUUUUCCACAAACCAUUUUUAACGAGGAUGAGCCUGUAAAGCAAAGACCGUUAGGGUGCCAAUUGAAAGGGUUUCAAAGAUCAAAGAGUACAAAAUGUGGGACUUUAAAAAUUAGGAGACCAAAAGUGUAUUUUUAGGGGAAAUUUUGGGUUAUAUUUUUGUGGUCAUCCAUGGAAUCUUCAUACAAUAAAGGGGAAAAUUAUCCAAAAAGUCCUACACUCAUUGCACUUUUGUCAAUUCAAUCUUAAACCUUUCAAUUUUGUCAAUUCAAUCCUAAACGUUUUCACAUUUUGCCAAAUCAAAAUAUUUUCACUUCUUACCAGUUGAGUCCAUCCAACCAAUUUUAGCCGAAAAUUACUAAUGUCGAUGGCUAGUGCUAACGUAGCAAUUUUUAAUAAUAUUUUGCAUUUUUUUAUGGUCCUCUCUCUCUCUCUCUCUCUCUCUCUCUCUCUCCAGCCAAACUCCAUACCAAAAAAUUAAAAAAUUAAAAAAGGGGGGGCACCACAAAAAAUUCAACAAAUUAUUAAAAUAUUAUUAAAAAAAUGCAUCAUCAAUACCGGCCGUCCAUGUCAACAAAUUCCAGCAGAAAUUGAUCGGAUUGACUCAAUUGGUAGUAAAUAAAAAUGUUUAUGACUAAAUUAGUAAAAUUGAACAGUUUAUGACUAAAUUAACAAAAUUGAAAAGUUAAGAACUAAAUUGAUAAAAUUAAAAAGUUGAGGACUAAAUAGACAAAAAUGCAAUAGAAUUAAGACUUUUUUAACAAUUUUUCCUACAAUCAAAUCAAAUGAUUUUUUAUUUAUUUAUGAUGAGUCCUUUUCAACUUAGAUUUUCCAGGCUGGUAUAAUUUGAUGGAAUCAAAUCGAUCAACAAAAUGUGUAGCCUAGGGUAGCUACACACAUAGGUUAGGCGCAUCUUCGACAAUAGCUAGCAAGGAAGCAUUCAUGCAUUCCCCAAAGUACAUAUAAAUAAUUCACAAAAUUGGAAUUUUCUGUCCACACAAUAGUGUAUUUGUUGCUUUCGGAUGUCAUAUAUCUUACAUAUGCCAUCAAGAAACGCAAUUUGGAUUUUUUUUUUCCAAUUAUUCCACAUCGUGUAAAUCCAAAUUACUUAGAAAAAAAAGCAGAUUUCGUUCCUUAGGAAGAGAUGAAAAUCUUUAUCCAUGUCCACCUUUCUUGUACAAACUUAAAAAGUAAUACCCCAUCCGCCAUGCAAACGCUUAGACAAAGAGAUUUGGUCUUCGCACACUAGGACAAAUGGAUUUUUACUAGGGUUCUCCCAAGUUUAAAAGAAAAAGAAAAACAAAGGGAGGACUGGAUAAGGAUCUUCACUUGCCUCAGAUGCAACAACCUUAACGUCACCAACUGUUAUUUAAGUUUUAGUUAUAAAUUUAAGGAAAUUUUUAAAUAAUUAAUUGUGAAAGAAAUAUUUAAUCACAGGAAAAAUUGCCCAAUCAAUAUUCAAUUUAAUAGAUGGAUUCAAAUUUAGUCAUUUUUCAAUUAUAUCAAUUUAAUUGUAAGUUUUUGCGUGAAAUUUCAAGGUAAACUCUGGUUAGAUUCGGUACUAAAUUGUUGAUGUGACUUACUAGUUAUUAUCCGUCAUUCUAUGCGGCACAUCGCCGUAUUAGCAAUUUUCCAAAAAUUGCUUAAGGAACUAUAUUGAAUCUUCGCCCAAAAACUUACAACACAUGUCCUAUGUGGCACACCACCAUGUGAGCAAUCUUAAAAAAAAAUUAUUGAAAGGACCAUAUUGGAUCUCGCCUAAAGACUUAGAAUAAAAAUUGGCAAAAUUGAAAUUUUAGAAUUGAAUUAGCAAUUGAAAAAUAGAUUCUUGACUGAUCGAAAAAAAAAAAAAAAAUUAGAACACAUGUCCUGCAUGGCACACCACCAUGUGAGCAAUCUUAAAAAAAUUGUUGAAAGGACUAUAUUGGAUCUCGCCUAAAGACUUAAAAUAAAAUUGGCAAAAUUGAAAUUUUAGAAUUGAAUUAGCAAUUGAAAAAUAUAUUUUUGACCAAUCGAAAAAUUUCCCCUUUGUUCAAUACCACUCAAAUAUUAGGCUCAUGUUUUUUCACCCAUCUUUUGGCUUCUAACAACCCCUUACCACCUUGAAUUGACUAAAUUAUCUCUCGUGGAUCUCAAAUUUAAGAUUUUUUCUUAUAAUCAAUUAAAAUCGUCAUAAUUUUCUUGUCAACAACUAAUUACUUCAUGUAAGCAAGGCAAAGAUAAUAUUCCAUAUAACAUUUUAAUAGCGUAUUUUGAAUGUGCAUGAUAAUAAUUUUUUUCAUAUUUUUAAAUCUUUCAAAAAUAUUUUUAAAAAAAUCAUGUAAUGAUGGUAAGAAAAAUAAAUAAAAGUCAGAAUAUCAGAUUUCACUGAAUGCAUUCUUUAAAACUAAUAGAUGAUUCUUUUAACUUUUACUAGUACUUUGGUUAUUUUCAAUAUAAUGGUUUCCUACCAACCAAAAAAAUAAUAAUAAUGGUUUCCUAGAAAAAAAAAAGAAUUAUACAACUCAUUAACACAAUAAAUUAUUAUUUAUAUGCCAAAUAAAAAAAAUUGGAAAAGAGGGACACCAAUUUCAUCCCAGAUUGGAAAAGAUUUUAAAAAAAAAACGAAAAAGAAGAGAAAAAUGUAGGAAAUAAUCUUAAAUGAAGAUUAAGCCCUAUAUUUGACUUUAAUCUUUAUUGUUUAAGUUGAACAUGGUAGAUUUUUUUUUAGUAAAUUUGAAAUUAAACAAAAAGAAAAAACAAAGAUAAAAAAAAAUCAUUUUAAAUCAAAGCGGGACCCACAAUGGAUAAUUUGGUCAAUUUAAGGUGGUAGAGAGUGUCAAAAGUCAAAAAAAAAAAAAAUGGUUAAAGAAGCGAGAGCCAUAUAUAAUUGCACAUAAAAAGACCGAUUUCACCUUUGCAACGAGCCAAUUGCGAUAAUAUAUUGAUGUAUCAACAUGUCUAAUCCACGAACAAAUCUACCAUGGAUCAUAUCCAGUUGAUUCUUCAGUGUGAAAAGUGAGCACCACCAUUUUGCACCCACAUGCUCAUCUUGACUUUUGUGGAUAACCCAUAUUCCACGAAAGAAAUGCAAAGUGCGCCUCUCGAGAUGUAAAAGAUAGGAAGAAGAUUAUUGAAAGAAGCAAUUAAUCAUCUCCACUUGCCGGCGGUUGACAAAAGAAAAAUGUGGAAACGGACGAGGAGACUUCUACUUUUUGCUUGAUGCAAUUAUAAUAUUAUAAAGCAUCUACGUUCACAAAAGGGACAUGUUUUCCGUCAUCUCAAUCAGAAAAAGUGAUGAUGUUUUAGGAUAAUUGGUUGCAAAAGGGCUCUCACCCUAGAAUCGGAAAUCGAACCACAUAACAAACAACCAACCAUGUUCGUCCAGGAACCAAACUGGAUUGAAUUCGUUUGUCUUGGUCCGAUUUCCAAAUGGGACCAGGACCAAUUGUGUAGACUUUUUAUUUAUUUAUUUGUGUCCUUGGUUGAAAAUGAAGACUUCCUCAAGGAAUUGUAGUAGAAAGCUUGUUAUAGCGGUAGUGCCCAACAUGGUGAUGAGCAUACGCAUAAUCUUUUCGGUCAUCUAAAUUAACAUAAUUUGUAGUGGCCAUCAAUUACCAACUACUAGAGCUUUCAAAAUGGGUCAUAGGCCCAUAUAUUAAUUUAUAUUUAUUGUAAUGGGUUGUAAAUGGGUCACUACAUGUUGAAAUAUGGAUCGAAAAUAAGUCGUAAAAAGAAAAUGUUAAAAGAGAUGGGUCUAGGUGGGUCUGAGAUAAACCCACUUUCGACCCACACAAUAAAUAGGUCUUGGACUAAAUGGGUUACCUAACAAGGUUAAUAUAAUUAAAAACUAGUCUUUUUUAUUUUUUUAUUUUUUUAAAAUUUUAAAAUUUUUCUAUGUUUAUUUUUCUUUUUCUUUUUUCUCUUUUUAUUUUUUAAUUUUUUAUUUUUAUUUUUCUUUCCUGCCAAUGGCCAGCCACUAUUGAGGGACAAGCUUGUCGAUCUGGCCCUUAAUGAGCCUUAAGCUCACCGACCUCUGGCACUAGCAAGACUCAAGCUCGCCAAGCCAGCCAAACUCGAGCUCGCUGAUUUGGCGAGGCUAAAGCCUCACAGACCACUAGCAAGGCUCCAAUCUCACCGAUCUAGCAACACCUGAGCUCGUCAAUAUUGAGUAUUCAAGCUCGCCAGAGAUAUGUGAGGCUUCAACCUCAUCGAUCUAGCAAGACUUGAGCUCAUUGACUUGGCGAGUCCAAACCCUUGUUGACCUUUGGCGAGGCUUGAGCUCGCUUGUAAUUGGCCACCAAUUGUUGCUCGCAUGACCAAGCAAAGAAAAAGCAAAAAGAAGAAAUAUAAAAUAAAAAAUAGUUAACAUAUCGAUCUUUAAAAUAUUUUCUUUUUACUUUUUUAUAAUUUAAAAUAAAAUAAAAAAAUUACCAAAAAAUAAAAGACCAUAGUCACCUUCGGUCUUUUUUUUAUUUUUCUGUUUACAUUUUGCAUUUUAUUUACUUAAAUUUUCAUAUUUUGUUAUUUUACUUUUUUUUUUGUUUGAUAUAAAAUUUUAUGCAAGCAACACAUUAACAUGGAGAGCUUAUGGAUUAGAUGAGUUGGCAUUUACUUUAUAGUUAGGGUUAAGUAUGGAUGUGUUUUACUAAGAUAGGCUAGGUCAAUUAUGGGUUGGAUUGGGUGCGGGUUAGGUAAGGGUCAUUGAAAUUGUAUUGUAUGAAAAUGGGUCGAUAUGGGUCGGACCAUUCUCAAUACGACCCAACCCACCCAUUUGACACCCAUACCAACUUCCACUGCCUGCUUAGUACUUAUGUUUGGCCAUGAGGAUUGGACUGUGUUCACUUCUCGUAUCUUGGUGCUCAUGUCUGAUGGAUAUAUUGUGAGUAGAUUUCAUGUUUUCUACUGAAAGAGAUGAAGAGUAAAACCUGAGAGAGACAAAGACGGAAGAGAUCAAGCCCUAAAUUCAAUAUAGGGCAGCCAGUCCGAUUCCUUGAGCAGAACCGAGAACCAAAUUGGUUCCUGCCAGUCCCAAAUUUCGGGGACCGAGAAUUGCCCAAAACGGGUCAAUUCGGUCCAUUUCCCGGUUGAACUAGAACUGGGGCUCAACCCUAAGAAGUUCCUAUAACCAGGCUUUUCAUUAGUGCUUUCACAAAUACUUACGUUACCAAAAUCUAAUUGUCAUUAAGUUUGCUCGUGAUGAUUUACAUAAUUUGCAUUCCAUUUUUGCAAAUUUACUCCAACCUUAGAAUUUCAUUUUUAUUUGUCCCACUUUGGCUUGGCGAAGCAAACGGUUAGCUACUCAUUGUUUUUGGAACUUUUAAUUGAGUGUUCAUCGAUAACUAGCAACAUGGUUUGAUCUAACGAUACUUAAUCACACAUAUUAAAGAAUAUUGUUAGAGAUAUUAUUUGACAGCUCAAUGCUGUUGGGCGCACCAUAGCCGCCCCACCGUGCACGUCCCCAUCCUCCUCAUAAGCCUCCCGCUGGCCCUUCCGCUCCAUCUCCUCCGCGACCUUAGCACCGAAGAGCGGUUUUCUCCUGCUCAUCCCAUUCCAUGUCCGUAGGUCGCACCGCUACAGGAAAACAGAGGACUAAACGCGAGUAAGAAGAUAAGAAAUGCAUCGGAUGUGGAUACCCGAUAGUAAAAUGAGUUUGAAUUUUUGACUGACCACUGGAUUUUGACACUGAUAAAUAGCGAAGAUUCGUGUUCCACCAGACACCACAGCCACCAUUUCACCAGGAGACCCGAUAGUGAAAUGAGUUUGAAUUUUUGACUGACCACUGGAUUUAGACACUGAUAAUUAGCGAAGAUUCGUGUUCCACCAGACACCACAGCCACCGUUUGACCAGGAGACAAGAACGAGGACGAAAGAGAUCGAAGAGCUGUAAAAAGCAGCCUCGCCACCACGAAUCUGAUGGGCUGAUGUCGGUUUCCAGAACGAAUCGACUUGAGUAUGGGCGUAGAUUAGAAGAAUGCUACUGACCCGACUCCCCCUGUCAUCAAGUCCGAACAUCGUGCUCCAGACACAUGCGAUUUUCUCUCCUACGUUUACCUUAAUACGAGACUAUAGGUAUUUCAUGGCCUCGAGAUCUUCGUUCUACUUAGCAUCCGAAGGAGCCUUUUCCUUCCAAUUUGAGAGAACUCGUUCACAAAAGCACAAACCGAAGAAGCGAUGCGAAUCAUGCGAUCCUGAGCUGUCUAUUGCGCCUGUGCGUGCAUGAAAGUUGAAUUUUCGGACGAUAAUUGUUUCUUUGGGUUGUGCACAUCAGCUGGUGCAACAGGUUUUAUCGAGUCAUAGUCUCAAAGAACCCCGACGUUAGGAGCACGCCAAGCAAACACGGCCCCCACUCCGCUUUACUAAAAGCAAAAAUCACAAUCUGAAGAUCAGACUAAGGACCUAUGGAAGUCGGGGCCCUAUAUUAGACCAGACAAUAGGGGGCCAUUCAGGCCUUUUUUCGUGCCCCUCUUAUAUAGAAUGAGCGCGUUGCUUGAAUUGGCUUAUUCGUUAGCUUGAGAUAGAACUACUCACAUACCAACAGAAGGCCCAAUAGGGUUAGGAAACAAGGAUAACGUAGUUUUAGCAAGAUUUCAUAAGGUAUAAUCCUAGGCGGUGUAUAGGAUAUCUAUCUAUAAUAGGCUUGCUUGCUACUAUCUUGAUAGCCAAAAAAAAGAAUUAAACUACAAGUGAAAUGGGUUAUUAAACCAAAUCAAACUUUAUAUAACUAUAUUCUUAUUGGGGAGCCUAAAUAAGAGUCACGCUCUCCCAGAAGCAAAACACAUGUUUAAUCUUACACUCUAUUUUCCGAUAAUCCAGAAAAUACAUGGCUACACUACUUCGUUCUUGUUUUACUCUUUUAUAUCUAUAUGAAGAUUGUAGUAUAUGGGGAACAACACAUGAUUGAUCGAAGUUGUGCCUAAUUCUAGGGAUAUCAGGUUGAGAGUAUCCUAGCCUUAAACAGACCAAUUUAGGUUUUCGACACAACUUUCAAUUCGGAUUGAUUCUCUUUUAGCCAAGAAGACUUGCAAAAGGGGCAUGUUUCCUUCUUUCUUGAUUGGCAGGUUUACGAAUAUGUAAACCAAAAUUUAAUUCAAGUUGAAUUUGCAUGUGGCGAAAUACUUAACUUGCAAUCUACUAACCAGAAAUAUGGUUUUAGCACGAUUCUUCCAAUCCCGCGAUGGCAGAAAACAUUAGCCACAGGAGUCAAAUUAUAGAGCUUAUCAAACAUCAAUCCCUGCAGGAAUACAUCAGAAAAGUGCUGAGAACGAAACGCGAGAAGAAGAUUAGGGAUGCACAGGAUGUGGAUAUGUGACACUGAUGGCCAGACGAACUCGCGUGUUGACUGGCGACUGGAUUUUAGACACUGAAUAAUUAGUGCAUCACUUGACCCAGAACAGGAAAAAGAAGGACGGAAAUGAUUGCGGUCAAAAUUCAGCCGCGACUUGUGGUUCAGAGCAUUAGCUGCCAACGUUGGAGCCCGACGGCAUACGUUUUCAAAGACUUUUAUCAUGUUGCUUGGAUCUUUCUCAUCAGAGAAAAACCUAAUUCGAUAAUUGACUCAAAGUUAAACGUUACUCAUGUGACGAAAAUUUCCUGGAGCUUUCAACACGGUCAAUGGCCCUACUAAAGAUCCUUAUUUUGACUAUCAUGGGCAUCAACUUGGGGAAAUCAACCAAAUGUUAUGAUUUCUGGGAUGCUUGUGCACCUAGGUCCCAUGAGAUUGCCUAUAGUAUCUGAUGAAUGGACUCAUUUAUGUGCAUAGAUUAGAUGAAGGUGAUGGGUCCGACUCCCUCCGUCGUCAGGCGCAAACAUCGUAUUUGGAGCACAGUGGAUUUUCUCUCAUACGUCACUUUAAUAGGAGAUCAGAGGUAUUCUACGGUCUCGACGUUUUUGUUCUUACUUUAAUUCAAGCCUUUAAAUAAACCUUUUUUUCUCUUACCAGAGCACUUGUUCACAGAAAAAAACACAAAAGAAAGAAGACAUUUUAUUCUUGAGAAACGCCCAUGUUAGGAGAACGCUAGGCAAGUAGGGCCUCACUACGAGAGGUCGAACCGAGGACCUAUGGGACUCGGGACCCAGUCAAUAGUCAAUCAAACAAUAGGGGACUCUGCUGGCCUUUAUUCUUGCCUAUCUUAUGCUCAAUGACUGUUAGAUGAACUAGCUCUUUCGUUGGCUUCAGAUAGAGCUACUUAAAUACCAACGUGAGGACUGGCAGGCCCAUGACAAAAGAAUAAAGUAGUUUCAACAAGAUUCCAUUUUGUAUAUCCUAGGUCGAGUACAAGAUAUAUUUCUCUAAUAUGUAUAUCAAAUCGACUCUUUUGACUAUUCGUUUGGAAAUUUGAUGUUGCUGGGAAUGAUUCUGGGUUACAUAUCUUAUCUUUUCUUGGCCAAAAGAGUAUUUAUAUCGAGUAAUUUCUCAUAUUUUGAAAGUGCUUUUCUUGUGAACAAUACGACUCUCACUUGAGUGGAAAAUUAUGGAAAAAAAAAAAAGCCUUGAACUUAUUGUACAAAUCUAAAUUUAGUUCUAAAUAUUCAAUUUAAUUAAUUUAAUAUUAAAUCUUUUGACAGUUUGUCAAUUUAACCUUCAUAGUCAAUUUUGGCUGAAAAUUGCUAACACGAACAUUUGUUGCCCUACUACGUGGCACAGCCGGCAUAAACGUAGACAACAUUUUGCAAUUUUUCUAAAAGAGUUGAUUUUUUUUUUUUUUUGUCGUUGUGCACCAACCACCAAGCAAAAGCUAGGCCGGCCACAGGCGAGGGCAUGGGCUAGGUCAGCCGUUAGCAAGGGCCUUUGCGCCCUUGCUUGCAGCCUAGGCAAGAGCCAAUUACAGAGCAAAAGAAAACAAAAAAUAAGAAAAUAAAAAGGAAAUGAUUCACACAAAAAAAAAAAACAAUAACAACAACAAUUUUUACACAAAAUUGCCUAUGUCGACACUGUUCAUCCUAUGUGACACAGCCGCCUUCUACGUCGGCAAUUUUCAAAUAAAAUGAUCUAGAAUUGGUAAAUUGUCAAAAGAUUGAGCCUUGAAUUGGCAAAUUAAAAAAAUAUAAUAAUAAGACUGAAUUGACUAAAAAUUUAAGACCUUUUUUUUUUAUAAACUCCCCCCCUCAAGCAAGAAUUGCACUCAUUCCCAGGGAACACACUUUCAAAUUAUGAAAGAUAACUCGAAAUAAACACUCUCUCGGCCAAGAAAAGAAGAAAAGAAGAUUAAGAUAAGUAACCUAGAAUCAUUCCUAGCAGAUCAAACUUCCAAACUGAAUGGUAAUGGAUCGUGUGCUGUAUGAAGAAAAAGUUGCCCUGAAGAGAAUGGUCAAAAGAGCCCGAUCCGAUGUCCAUUCCCAGUGCCAGCAUGCCUCACCUCAGCACGGUGUGGACUCGCCAAAACUUGCUCAGAAAGCUUUCACUUUCCUUCUCUUUUUCUGCGUUGCACGUGGGUGCUUGCCCUGGCAUGCAAUGAGGUUAAAUAAAUGCAAUCGUUCAGCACUAGAAGGGUCAUCCGUAAAGCUUGUCUUCAUCUCUUUUCUUCUUUGACGGUCGUGGGGAACUCAUCAGUGCCAGUUGGGUAGUUUUAUUUGGUUGUGAAUUACCAUACCCACUACAAGUAUCAAUAAUUGAAGGGGGAGGGCGGCUAUAACCAGCAAUCACAUCCUUGCGUUAACAUAACUAUCAUGCACCUACUAUAGAUUACUUGACUUUAGCUAUAAUUAUUUUACUCCAUUUGCAAUUUGAAAAUCUAAGAUUAACAAGCCUAUUGAGGCAACCAUGUCAAAAUGUCAUUAGUUAAUAAAUCUCUUCACACGAGACAUGUUAUAUAAUGCAGCACGAAAUUCAUAGGGUUUCCUUACCUAGGAUUCUUUUGAAACUAUUAUGAUGGUUCGCAUGUAAAUUUUGUGGUUUCUCCGUUAAAAUAAUAUCUUCUAUUUUGACAUUAUAUUUUAAGGGAUUUUUUGGGGUGAAAAAGCCCAAGCAUAACCGUUUUUGAGUAAAAAAACAAAUGUACAAGCCAUUCCAUGGUUUGAUGCCAAUCGCCCUCUCAGACCUCUUCUUUUUCUGAAGGCUCGUAAUUACAAUUCGAAAUUAUCCUUUAGGGACUUAUAUUAAGGGAAAGAGAUCCACUCGAAUCUCACAACUGAAAAAAGAAAGGAAAAAGAAAAACACAGACCCUACCAUUUUUUUCCCUAUUUUCCCAAUUGUAGAUAAUUACCCCCAAUUACUUGGGCUGUAAAAUGGGUUUCUCCUAUGAUUAAUUUAAAGGUCCUAAAUCUAUGAUAUGCCUACGUGGCACAGCACCGAUUGGACCACUACGUUAUGGUUACCGGUUAAUUUUGGCUAGAAUAAAUUAUGUUGAGAAGUUGUCAAAAGAGUUUAGGAUAAAAUCGGUCAAAUUAAAAGUUUUAGAACUGAAUUAAUUAUUGUAUAAAAAAAAUUAGGUUUUUCGAGAUAAUUAUCCUCUCAAUUAUUGCUUUCUUGACAUCUUCUAGUGAGAGGACAGAGCAGCGCGGUGAAAGAACGAAUGAACGCCUGAGUGGAAUCUUGAAUUCAAUGCACGAAAUUCCUCAAAUUUCAAAAUGUGGGGGAAGAAAGCGGGAUACGGAUAAUAUAAUAAAACGAAAGGAGGAUGAAGAGCCACGUACUACAUAUCUUCCCCGCAAGUUGCGAUUCGAUUCCAAGCGCGCCAAGCCACGUCGCCCAUGCAUGCGUCACCCUUCUGUACCAUCCCUUGCGUCAUCUUAUUCGUUUGGGCAUGAAGCACUUAAUUGAUCGAUCGAGUUUUAAAAUAUUAAAUUUUUGGUCGAUUGAGCUUUUUCACUUUUUUAAAAUACAUUGAAUUGAGUCGUCGAUCGAAUUGGCUUACUUCGAUGCCAACAAAUGACAAUUGACCAACACACGGAGCACUCCAUUGUACAUUUAAAGAAUAUGGAAGACUCAUCUGAUCAAAAUAAAGUUUGUAGGGCUUGAUUGAAUGAUGGUUGAUUGAUAAAAAGCCUAUGAUUAUGGAAUGUAUUUAAAUUUUACCUAAGAUAAAAGAAACUUUUAGAAUGAAUCAUGAGAAGGGCACGUCCAAGUGCCUCAGAUUUUUUACUAUAUGCAUCUAUCAAUAUUAUAUAUAGCCACCAUUGUUGGAAAAAAUGAUGGGUAGAUAUUUAUGAUAGCUUAGCACCACUAACCCUAAUUAAAAUUCCUCUUGUAUUGAAAGAGUCAACAUUGCAACGCAAAGAAUUUUGAAUAGAACUUUUUCCAUUCAAUAGUAACCCACAUUCAAAAACAAACAAAACGAUCAUGAUAUAUAUGUCACAUGUUGAAUUAGAUACAUUGAAUUUCCCAUGACACGGUGCUGCGUGAUUAUUCAAGUUUCAAUAAGUAACAAAAAACGACAAGAUUCAUGUAUGGGAUGUUUUGAGAGCUCUUCCCUUAUCUAUCUUUCACUAGACAAAAUAGUCUCCCUCUGAACACGCAAGUUCCGACUGUAAGCUGCAAAAAUGGCAUCCCAAAACCUUUAUAACUAAAAUCUAGAAUACAUUAAUGGAGAAAAAGAGUCUUGCUCACCUAAUUUAGAAUCAAUUGUUCUUGCUACGAAACAGUGAUGAUCCAAAAGUUAAGUUCUUCUCCUUUAUUGGCCUCUAUACGACUAGAUAACCCUCAAUAUUCAAUAAAUGCUUCUUAUGCAAUGUUAUUUGUGCAUCUGGUUGAAUGAGAGACUUGAAUAUUAUUUAUAAAAUUUUAAGCCACAAGCCCUCUCAUCAUAGAAUGAGCUUUACACGGCCCGCACAAAUAGUCCAAUAUUGAACUAAUUAUGAAUCUUUAUAUCUCACUUUAUUAGAUCGAUCUCCUAAAUAGGUAAAUUACAAUCUUAAAUAAUAUAAUCUAUAUCAGAAAAACCCUUACACCGACAUCUGUCACCAAAGCAUGCUUCUCCUUAGGUUAACCUUGAAAGGAAGACGGGGGUGCACCGUUUCAUACCCGCUCAUUAAGCAAGAAGAUGAUCACAAUUAUCACUUGAGUAACCCGUUGGGAUUCGUCGCAAUCCAAUACGAUUAGGCCUUCUACAAUUUCCUCCGGGCUCCAUAAUCAAUGACUGACCCACUUCACAUGCCCACUUUCCUCAUUUUAGCAUUUGGUGAUUAGAGCUUUGGAAACAAGUGAGAGAUUUUAAACCACGUGGCGUCCAGGGAAAACAAGAAAGAAGAUUGUAUAAAAAACUCCAACUUGAGGCAGCGCGUGUAUAAAUUUCAACGAGUGGCUGCUAAGCCUCCAUGAGCUCUCUUCAGCAGCAGCGCACGCAAAAACUCACUCACCCAACGCUACUCAAGUAGCAAGAGGAGGAAGAAGGGGAGGUAGAAGAUGGAUGCUCAACCGCCAGCGCCGAGGCCCCAUCCAGCCCCUGCCUUCGGCAACCAACCACCUCCAAGAGGCAGCGUCAUCAAGAAAAUCAUCUCCGGCCAGAAAUGAAACUGCUAUGAUCUUUAAGCUUCUUUAUCCUUGGGGGAGGUGUAAUUAGGUUUUCGAUCAUGUGAAAUACACGACUUCUAUCCUGUCUUGUCAGGAAUGUGUAGUUAGUAUAAUGAGGUUGCUGUACAUAUUAUAAAGGGAAUGCUGGAAUGGCCUAGAUCUGAGAUCUAGUACAUACAUGGUGUUUCCCUGAUGUCAAAUGUAAUCAAGAUCCUCCCCCAAAUUAAGCUUGUGAUGUUUUUACAGGGUAGGCAUAUUUCCAGGUAAUUCUCAUACCCGCUUGCGCUAGCAAAUAGAUCUCGGGUUCCUCUUGUGCUUUCGUACCGUUUAUGUCGUGCAUGUGCAGCACGCAUGUUCGUAUGUAUUUGCUUGUGCGCAGGGCAGGCAAGCGUGCUGAACGGGUAGAAUAAUCGGGUUGAAUUUCGAAGCAGGACUUCUAACCAGAAACCUCGUAUCAGCGGACUAUGAGUAUCAGCUUGAAUGUGUAUACUGACACGUCAAACCUCGUCGGAGGCUAAUGCCGAGAAGGAUCCUGAAUAAGCAACUCUUUGCUUGCAUAACUCAUCUCUGUUACUGUUGAUUAUUCAGGAUUUUUAACCAGAAACCUUGCAUAAGUGAACGACAAAUAUCAGCUCGAAUGUCUCUAUCAACGCAUCUAACAUCGCCGGAGGCUAAUGCCAAUAAGGGACUCCGGAUAAGCAACUCCUUUUCUGCAUAAUUUUUCUAUAUUAUUGUCAGUAUUGAUUAUUCUUUUUUUUUUCUUUUCUUGAGAAUUGUUAUGGAAAGAAAAUCUGACUUAGCUCUGAAAUUGGAGAUGAAGAUUUGAGCAUUAUUCAAUGCACCAGAUCAUGCAUGACCCACCAUGACAUGAGCGAUGAAGAUUUAUUUUUUUAUUUUUUUUAUCAGAGAGAGAUGAAGAAUGAGAUGAAGAUUGAGAUGAUAGUUUUUGGCAGAUAUUGACUGUCGCCAGUUGGAAAUUACUGCUUAAAUAAAAAAAAGUUAUCAGUCUAUGUCAAAGGAGUGUGAAUCCAACUAGUCUUUUUCUUAGAUUCGAUGGAUUAUGUGGUUAGUGCAGUGUUCUUUCAAGAGCUGUGUUCCGGAUCAUAAAAGCCGAUGCAGCAUCAUCAUUUGUCACUUCUAAUAUCCUGAAUACAUGAUUAUUAGAAACGAUAUUCGGAUAAUUUUUUUAGACGACAAGCGAAAUCCACUCGAUUGCCACGGUGUCUUUGUCACCGUGCGUUUUAAAGCAAAGAAGCUGCGUAUGACGGAGCGUCCGUGGGUUAACAGGCGAGACAAAAAGCAAUGCGAUGGGGGAUAUUGACGGAUGUCAUAAGCCGACCAAUUUAUACAUUAAACGACCGCCGUCGCUAGACAAACAUCGGGACGGUCACGCCUGCCUUUUCCAUAGAACUUAGCAUAAUUACCGCGUGAGCCUCCGGAGUCGAAGAAUUCCAGAUAUGUUGGACGAUAAUGAAAUGGGAGUUCAUCGACCAACUCCACGUGCCUAGCCAAGUAGAAAGAGGACAGGGGAAACAACCACCAAACAAAUUUGAAUCACAUGCACCAGAUGUACUUUUCCCACCGACAGCUCUUUAAAUUCACCAAGCGUGAUUGAUCGCCUUGGGAUUGUUGGAAUCUAUUGGGAUUCGAAUUGAUUUAGACAAGCAUGAGGGUCCAUCUAUAAGUGAGAAAACAACAUAUAUCAAAUCAAUAAAUCAAGAAUAUAAUCAAUUACAGCAUCCGAAUUCCAUAGGAUCUCAUCUGUUUUUUAGGGUUUUGUGUAGAUUUCUUUGAGAUGUGAUGGAUCGCUGCCCACUGUUCACAUUUUAGGGUUCGGUUUCAUUGAAUCUUGGCAUGGGAGUAGUUUAGCCUAGUAGAUUAGUGCCUGUGUUUUUGUCCUCCUUCUGUCUGCUUAAUUGUAAUUUGACAAGUUCCAUAUCUCGGAUCGAGUGUUGAUAUAAAAAUACACUUUUCAUAAUUAGGUGCUAACAGUUAUAUACUUCAUUUUCAUCCCAUCCUUUAUCUAGGGUUUCCAUGCAAUAAUAGAUUGGAGGAAUAUAUAAUACAUAUACAAGAUAUCAAAUUACUUUAUACGUAUUUUUCUUUCACUCAAGGGGCCACGUAUAGAUUAUCAGCUUUGCCAUUGUAUAGCUAAUCUAAAAUUAAGCAAAAGGACACAUCACGUACACAUAACAAGACUUGUGUAAUAUGAACUCUACACGAUAAGAUAUUUGCGUGUUACAUAAUUUUCAGAAGGUGUUGAAAAAUAUGAUUAUACGUUUGCAGAUUUGGACAGGUUUUAGACAUUCGUGCUGAAUGAAAACUAAAUAAAUUGAAGGGUCAUAUGCUUUAUAGAAGGUUAAAUAUUUGAAAUAGAGGACAGCACUAAAUGGAUGACACUAGAACAAUUAUUGUGAUAGCAAGUCUUUUGACCUAUUGAACCGUGGACCAUUCAGCGGUAUCGUCUUAUGGAUGGAUGAGGAAUUCAUUAUCCCAGCAAAAUCACAUUGGCGAAUUACUAUUUGGGAAUCACAUUGACUUUAAGCAAAGCCCACAAUUUUUUAUUAUUUAUUUAUUUGUUUUCUUUUUUAUUUUUGUAUGUCCGAACCACUAAUUUUGAGGUGAGACGACACUGAUUGGCUUCUUUUGAGUGGCUUUUGGCCAGCAAGUUGUGCUGUCUUCCCCUCCGAGGAAGAAAACUUCGGAAGCCAUCCUUCAACAAAGUCAAACGCCAUGAAAGGCACGUUUUUUGACAAGGUACUACAUUUCGUAUAUCAAAGGUCGGCCAAGACAUUAUUAGAGAGUAGUUAAUUUAGAUUUAGACGAUACGAGAUUUGUUUUGAUGGCAUCAUGGACUUUGAAGAUGGAUCGUGAUUAUCACUAGCCCUAAUUUAGAGGAAAAUAAAUAGUUCUAUUGUAUAAUGUUCGUACCUCUAGUGCAAAUAAUAUAAGCUCCCCAACCGGAAAAUGAAAAUAUAGAGUAAAAAUGAACUCGCUCGAUACCGUUUGUUUGGUGGAAAAUCGAUUAUUUUGAGAAAUUUUUUCUAAAUAGUUGUUUUUAAGGUUCAAAAAAAUGAACAGACAAAAAAACUUUUCACUAUGACAAAAAGUAUUAGCCAUAGAUUGUGAUUUAAAAUGACUAUUUCUUUUUUCUUUUUUUCUUUUUUUUUUUGUAAAUGAUGUGAAUGGUCAUGUUUAGAAAAGUAUUUUUUUUAGUCAUUUAUUUUUCACGAAAUGAAUUUGAAUAGAUUAGUUGAGAUCGUAAGGUGUGAUUUAUGUAUAGCCAACUCGUCAAAAAUUAAUGACGUUGGAAAAAACUGAGGACAUGACCUUGUAGAGGCCUAUCGUUAGCUGCCCAUUGACAAAAUAUAGAAGUGGAGAAGACACAAUGUUUUCAUAAAGGUCGACAGAAAUACAUAAUAUUUUGACAAUAAUUUGAAAAAGUCAACCAACAUGUCGAUGAAUUGACUUAAUCAAUAACAUUGAUUUCUAGGAUUCAAUUAUCACGUGUCAUCACAAAUAUAUAUAGUUCCGCGCAUGUUUGGUUGUGCAAAACCCCUAAAAAGAACACAAAGACAUGGUAAUUGAAUUUCAUGUUUGAUUCUAUUUGUAUGCUAGUGUUACUUCAAAAGAAGUACUCAUCCAAUGUGAUCGUGGCCCCAAAGACCUACCAUCCUAAGUGGAGUUGGACUGAUAUGGAUCCUUUUAAUAUAACAAAAUAAGGGCAUUUAUACCUUUUGAUACGAAUAAUUUACUUAGAUUCGAGUAAAUCUUAUUGUGAUAUGCAUAAUUUUAUAUUUAUAAAAUCAUUUUUACGGAGGAUGAGCAUGUAAAGAAUAUAUUGUUUUGGUGCAAAUUGAAGGGUUUGAAAGCUCAAAGGGUAGAAAAUGAAGGACUUCAAAAAUUAGGAGAUCACAAGUGUAAUUUUAGGGCAAAGCUCUGGUUAAAUUUUUGUAGUCAUCCACAAAGGAAUCUUCAUACUGUAGAACCAAAUAUUUUUUAUAUUCAUGUUGGGUCCUUUUCAACUUGGAUUUUUCAGGCUGGUAUGAUUUGAUAGAAUCAAAUCAAUCGACAAAAUGUGUAGCCUAGGGUAGCUACAAAAAAUAGGUCAGUCGCAUCUGGGACACUCGCUAUUCAGAAAGCACCCAAGUUUUCCCCCAAAGUAUACAUAAAUAAUUCACAAAAUUGAAUAUGUUGCUUUCUGACGUCAUAUGACUUGUAAAUGCCAUCAACAAAGGUAAUUUGGAUUUUUUUUUCCAAUUAUUCUACAUCUUUUAAAUCCAUUUUACUUAGAAAAAAGCAGAUUUUAUUCCUAAGAAAGAGAUAAAAAUCCUCAUCCAUGUCCACAUAUUUUACACUAAUUAAAAAAGUGAUACCCCAUCCACCGCGCAAUUCACUUAGACAAAGAGAUUUGGUCUCCGCAUACUAGGACAAAUGGAUCAUUAGGGUUCUUCUAAGUUUAAAAUAAAUAAAAACGUAAGAAACUGGAUAAGGAUGUUCAUUUGCCUCAGAUGCAACAACCUUAAUGCCACCAGCUGUUAUUCAAGUUUCAAUUAAAAAUCUAAUGAAAAAUUUAAAUAAUUAAUCGUGAUAAAUAUUUGUUUACUAAGAAAAUUGCAAAAUAAGUCUUUAAACCUAUAAUGAGGAUGCAAAUUUAGUCAUUUUUUAAUAAGUCUUGAACUCUUAUGUGAAAUUUUAAUAUAACCAUUUCAGUUAAUAUUCGUCAAAAUUGCUAACAUGGCUUACUAGUCAUCACUUGACGUCCCAACGUGACACAUCAUUAUAUUAACAAUUUUUAAAAAAUUAUUGAAAGGACUAUAUUGGAUCUUCACUCAAAGACUUAGAACAAUAAUUAACAAAAUUGAAAAUUUUAAAAUUGAAUCUACAAUCGUAAUACAAUAUAUAUAUAUAUAUGUGUGUGUGUGUGUGUGUGUGUGUGUGUGAGAGAGAGAGAGAGAGAGACUAAUGAGAUAACAUCAUCUUUAUUCAUCGCCACUCAAAUUGAGACUCCCUGCCUUUGAAAAAAAAUAUAUUAUUGCACAAAUCCACGAACGAAUCAACCUUAAAUCAUAUCCAUAUUGAUUCUUGAGUGUGAAAAAUGUCAUUAGCACCACUAUUCCACACCCACGUGCUUAUCUUAACUUCUGUGGAUAGCCCACCUUUCCCCAAAAGAAAUGCAAAAUUUGCGUCUCCAUUUGCGGCGGUUGACAAAAGAAAAAUGUGGAAACACACGAGGAGAUUAACCAAAGGGUUUGAUCCCUCUUUUUCUUAUUUAGUUAAUAAUUGGGAGGACUUCCAUGUGAACCCAGAUUAAUUCUUAAUUCUAGAAGUUUGAGAAGAGUGGCAAGUUGUAAUUGAUGAAAUAAUUGAAGACGUGGGUCGGACGCAGGUGCCCAAUAAAAUUCUUUUUUAUCACAUUUUUUUGAGAAAUUAAUUUUUUAAGUACAUCUUCAUUUGUCAUUUUAAAAAUGAAACGUGUCGAAUUUGCUGGCUUAAUUUAGAAAUUAAAAAGAUUUUUUUUUUUUUUGUAUAGUUAGAUCAUCCUUCCUCUAACCAAGAAGCGAUAACCAACAUGCCAUUGUCUUUAUCUAAGCUUAACCAAGUGGUUCCAAUUGACCUAUUUUUUCAUGUGCUUUUCUGGAGAUGAUACCGCAUUCCCUCCUCAAAACGUUUGGAUUUGAAAAGUCCAACCACCAAUCUAUUCCUAGAGAUGUAUUUUUCAAUUUUAUCUUAUUUAGUAUGUCGCUCUCAAAAUAAUGUCUAUGCAAACUCAACCGAAAGUGGUCCCAGAGGGAGAAAGAGAGUUACAAUAACUAAUUCAUCCCAUAGAUAGUCGAACGUAGAAGAAAUGGUGAUGACAAGUGAGAAAAGUGCACUAAAGAAAAUUGAAUUUUUCGCCAGAGUACUCAAAAAAAAAAUAUGGAAUUAACAAAAAAGAGAAGAAGACAAAGUGAACAAGGCGAGUCACGUGGUACGAUGUUGUCCCACAUGCUACUGUUUCUUUGCACGCUGGGAUAGCAUCACAUUUCAUCUAAGAUUAGUUAAUCUAUAUAAAUAGGCAAACCAAUGUGCUGUUUUCUUAAAAGGAGGCCAUUUUAGUAAACCCAUAAAAUCAUUGGUAAUUAUUGAGUGGAAUGGAGAGCUUUAAUGUUGCUAUGUCGUACAUGAUUUUCUCGUCAAAUGAGUAAAUGGUUUUCUUUUUCGAGCUCGUCAGCUGUUUAGUUGAAGUUGUUAGAUUUGGUGAUUUGGUAGGUGAAGUGAGUCCUUAAGAUCGUAGAAGGAUAGAAAUUUCUACAGUAUUUGGGUAUAGUGAGGCUCUAGCGAACAAGUUCUGCAAUAUCAACCGAUCAUUGAUCCUUAGGCCCAAGUAGAUAGGGCAAAUUUCAUCAACAUAGAUUUGCACACAAUCCCAACAGUAAGAAGCGAGGAAGGUCGGCAAUCUUGAAUUGGCAAUGCAUAAAUUACUCGGUGCCAUUCUUCCACCGCAUACAUGUACGACGCAUUCAUCGACUCGUCUUAAAUAUCCGUGGCUUCUCCCGAGCCGAGACACUAUAAAGGCAUUGAGCUGCUCAAAGUUCUGCACAAGUUUCUCGAAGAGCGAACAGGAAGGGAAUUCAAAACUUGAUCUGCAUUUAACUUUCUCAGUCCAAUUUACAUGUUCAGUGAGCAUGGGUUAGCACACAGAUCAACCGGAACAAAAACCUAAAAACUCAGCUUUUGCCCAAUUCUACUUUGGCACUCGCAGCAAAAAGCUGCGGAAGGAAUUAAAAGAAUCUGUACACUCUAUAAACGAAACUAAAGGAAAUGUGUGGAUGUCCCCGUUCAAGAGAAGAAACUAUCUUCGAUGCUUCAAUCUCUGCCAGCUAAGAUUCGUCUCCGCUUAUAGACUAAUUGGUACCGAUGCAACACUCCUUUGCAAGAUCCCAUUCUGUUUUCUCUUCCGAAACCCGUCUCUAAGCUUGCGCUUGUAACUUAAUCCGUAAAAUCUGCUCUGGUCCACGGAUCCAGCUACCUGCAACACGUAGCACGACGACCAAAAGUUUAACUUGAUGACUAGCCAUGAAGCUUUAAUCAGGUUAAAGGAGAUACAUAAGCCAGCAUCAAGGAGCAAUCAGGACCAACAUGCAUUUCACACCAUAGAACAUAGUCAAAACUUGAACAGUUCAGUCAAAGAUGAUGAAUGCAAAAACAUACCAGAGAUAAAAGGGCCGUACUCCCAGUGUCAUGGGAUGCUACAGAAGCCAAAACAAGAUUAGUAAGUAGAAGCAUAAGGUACAUGAAGUAAAGAAAUUAACUAGACGAAACUAGUUAGGGGAAGGCAUAAAUAAAAUUCUCAAAUAUAUACCCCUUGUCGCUUUGCAUAUAGAACGGUGAAGAUAUUUUUGUAUCAUUGUUGUCCCUGAAAGCCCAAGAGGGGAUAACCCAGUAGCUCUUGCAUAUCGGAAACAGGCAUCUCUGAAAAUCCAAAGGAUGCUUCCCAUGUUGUCCGCACUUUUUUUUUUUUUGGGUCAAUAAUAGUGUUUCAUUCAUUCCUUAAAAACGACGAGCUUUACAUGGAAGGGAUAAGUUGGAAUCAUAACACAAGAUAGUCCAAAGGGGAGUGGGUGGUUCUCGCUGCCAAUUUGAAGGAAGAAGUUUAAGGUGUUGUGCCUUUGCAACCCAAUCUACAGCAUGAUUGGCUUCUCUCGGGCAAAAGGUGACUCUUGCGUUGGUUAGUUGCGCCAAAAGUUCUUUGCAUUCCUGUACUUGGUCCUGCACAGCCCAUGGCGCUACUUCCCGGCCCAGAACGGAUUCGACAAGCGUGCGGCUAUCACUUUCACAAAGCCAACUCCUUCUCAAUUCAAGUACUUCCCCCACGUGACAAGCUUCCCUCUGUUUCAACAUGAUGGUUUUAUUAGUGAUGGGCUUAAGGCCCGUCCGCCCAAGUUGGGCCCAAAAAGCCCGGCCCACGGGAAUACGGCCCGUGGAUGGAGGGACAUAUAAAAGGAGGAGAGAGAGAGAGAACGUACCGGUUGAAGAAAACAGAAAGCAAACGUACGUCUUUUUCUUCUCACGCUCUCUCUCUCUCUCUCGCUUUUCUCUCUCAAAAGGAAAACAGUGAAGCACGAAGGCAAAUUUCCUUCACCGGAUCGAACAGGACCAAGUUUCUCUUCCUCUAUCAGCGUCGGUGUUUAAUCUGUGGCUUAAAAGGUACGCUCGAAUCCGUGGUGUACUUUAAGAUUGGUGAUACGUGUUGUUUUCCCGGACUCGUCUUCCGCAUUGAUUUAGGGGUUUGAUUUAGUGUCGAAUCCGCUUUUCGGGGAUCUGUUAUUCCCAAUAAUGGUAUCAGAGCCCUAGUUCACGUUUUCCCCACCUGUUUGAUUUUUUUUUUUAUUGAUUUUUCACGAAAGUAAUUCGGCCGUACGGAUCGGGGCGAGAAAUCCCGACACCCGAGCGUUGUUCGCCCAUUUUUCCGAGUUUUCGUAAGUCAAAAUCAAAUUCUGAUGGCAUAAGGUGGAAAGGGGUCGUCGAGACGAGUCUGGCGAUAUGUCGAACGCCGCCGGGAGAUGCCGCACACGCCCACACGCGCGGCCAGAAGCCGCUGCGCGUGGGCGCGACGCCGGCGGCGAACCGGCACGCGCUGGUCGGCAGACCGACGCGUGCUGACGUCACUCAACGGUCAGUAACCGCUAGGGUGACGUCAUCGAUGACGUCAGCACGACGAUGGUUGGCCCGGCGGUCACCGACCGGCGACCCGACCCGACCCAAACCGCGGAUGCCCGGCACGCGCGCGGCACGUGCCGUCGGUUCGCCCGAACCGGCCCGACCGGUCCGACGACCGACGACCUGACCGUUGACCGUUGACCCAAAAAAAAAAGAGGAAAAGAAUGUGUUUCUUUUUCAAUUAAGUCUAUGUGGAUUAUUUGUGAUCCCUUAUUUGUUCUGCAUUUGUUGCAGGAACAGUUCUGCAUUUGUUGCACGAACAAUGCCUCCCCUGAGGUUGCGCACACCUAUUUACGCAAUUACCGAUGAACAAAAGGAUAGGCUGUCUAAGUUGAUAGCUGAGCUGACUGAUCAUCGAUGGGAGAGUGGAGACUUAAUUGAUCAUGUCCUUGAGGUCAAUGGGAAGAUUCAACAGGUCAUAUGGAAUGGUCGUCCUAUUCCACAGUCAGAGAUGGUACGAUUUUUUAUAAACACUCUUCCACCUGAAUGGCAAGAUGUGUUGAAUCGCAUAUGGGAUGUCAAUGGAGUUGCUUCAUAUAAGAAAAUUGUGAUGGAUUUUGUAAAUGAAUAUUACUGCAUUGUUACAAGGGAAAAGAUCAAGAAAUUGAACAAAAAAUGAUCAUUCCCAAUUCGUGUGCUGACUCUGUGUUAGUUGUAUUGGCUGAUUUAUGUUAAGUGUGCUUUGUGGACAUAAUUAUGUAAUGUUUACUACCUAAUUUUUUGUUGAUGUAGCAACCAAUAUCUUUAUUGUAUUAGUUGAAAGCAUUAUUGUUUUAUUGGAAGUCAAUUAUCUGUUGCUUUCUGUUAUUACUGGUUGCUAUGGGUAGUUAUAGAAUUUUUUGUAACUUCAUAGAAUUUAUUUUGCAUAAGACAAUUAUAUUAAUGAUAGUUUUAAGUUAGGAUUAUGGAGGAUGAUUGGAAACAUAGUGACAUUUUGAUUCUGAAGCCUUACUUGAAAUUAUUCAUUAAUAUGAUGGGUCUAUGCAAAUAGGAAUGCAUAAAUGUUAGGCAUUAAUAAUUUGUGCAUAUAUGUCUGAUGUGUUCAGAUCAAUGGCUUCAGCCACAAAUAGCAUAGUUGCCGAGCUGAACAAAGGUGAAAAGCUCAAUGGUGACAACUAUGAGAUAUGGCAUAUGAAAAUCCAAUAUGUGCUGGAAGAGCAAGAGGCACUUGAGGCUCUUAACCUAACCAUGGUAGAACCUAAAGAAGGAAACACUACGCAACACAAAAGAGAUAAGGAAGCAUUUGCUGCAUGGAAAAGAAAGAACUCUCUUGCUCGCAUCACGUUGUUGAGCAACAUGGAAAAUGACAUCAUGCGAGAGUUUAGGCGUUUUGACAAUGCCAAGGAAAUGUGGGAGGCAUUGGCAGCUAGAUUUGGUCAUACUUCGGUGACCAGAUUGAGACAGCUCACUAUUAGGUUUGACUCCUAUAAGAAGCCUCAUGGUCAGACCAUGAAGCAACAUCUUAGAAAGAUGUCAAACAUGAUAAAUGAGCUGAAAGAUGCUGGUCAUAUCCUCACAGACGAGCAGCAGAUGCAAGCAGUGAUUCGUUCCUUACCUCAGAGUUGGGAGCAUAUGAAGGUGCACCUAACCCAUAAUGAAAAUAUCAAAUCUUUUGAGGAUGCAAUGCGCCAUCUUGAGCUGGAAGAGGACCGCCUCUUGGCGGCUAAGCGGAUGCAGAACUCUAUCAUGCUAGUUCUAGCUCAAAUGGAGCUUCGAGCUCCAAGCACAAGCGCCCUAACUGGUUUGAUAAAGGGAAAGGCAAGGAAGAAGGUCCUUCAGGGAAGAAACCCAAGUUUAACCAACAUGAAAGAGGAAAGCAUCCUCGCAUGAAGAAGUUUGCAAGGGUGAAAUGCUACAACUGUGACAAGAAGGGUCACUAUGCUCGUGACUGUCGUGAGCCAAAGAAGGUAUGCACCCUUUGUACUUUUCAGAACUUUACUUUUGUGUCGAGUUUUGUGUUCUUAACUGAAUCUAAUCCUUUGUGGACUGUAGAUUCAGGAGCGACGGACUAUGUAGCGAAGAAUAGAGGAUCCUUCGUGGAAUUCCGACGAGUACCAACUGGAACUAAGUGGAUCUAUGUGGGAAACAACUCCAUAGCUGAAGUGAAAGGAAUUGGCACAUGCCAACUGAAUAUGCGUGGUGGACGCACUUUGUUCCUACAUGAUGUGUUGUAUGCUCCGGAGAUUCGUCGGAAUUUAGUGUCUGUAUUAGUGUUGGUUAAAUUAGGUUUUAAUAUGAACUUUUAUAGUAGAGGUGUGAAUUUGUUUUUGGAUACAAAUUACUAUGGUUGUGGUUAUUUUCUGGAUGGUUUCAUUGUAUUAGAUAUUGAUUAUGUUAAUGCAAAUGUUUGUUAUUCCCUUCUCACGUCUCCUAAUACAUAUGAUAAUGAUGUGAAUGUGUGGCAUGCUAGACUUCGUCACAUUGGCCAAUAGCGUAUGAAUAGACUAGCUAAAGAGGGCUUGUUGGGCAACAUUGAAAAAGUCGAUUUGCCCAUAUGUAAGCAUUGCCUAGAAGGGAAAACAACAAGGAAACCAUUUGGGAAAGGUAAAAGAGCAUAAUUUCCUCUGCAUUUAAUCCAUUCUGAUGUCUGUGGUCCAAUAAAUGUGAGAGGAAGACUUGGGGCUGUUUAUUUCAUCACAUUUAUUGAUGAUUAUACUCGAUUCGGAUAUGUCUAUUUGAUUUCUCAUAAAUCUGAAGCAAUAAGUUGUUUCAAAAGGUUUAUGAACCUGGUAGAAAAUCAAUUAGAUAAGAAAAUAAAAGCAUUGAAAUCCGAGCGAGGUCGAGAAUAUUUAUCUGAUGAGUUCAGAAAAUUAUGUGAUGAAAAAGGAAUAGAAAGACAGUUGUCUAUUCCAUAUACUCCUCAACAAAAUGGUGUUGCGAAGAGAAUAAACAGAACCCUACUGGAAAUGGUUAGGUCCAUGAUAGCGCAUGCUAACUUACUUAUUACAUUUUGGAGUGAUGCCUUGUUAACUGCUACCUAUAUACUUAACCGAGUGCCUUCCAAAUCAGUUACUUCCACUCCAUAUGAGUUAUGGACAGGUAGAAAAUUGGACUUAAGUUUUCUUAAGCCAUGAGGUUGUGCUGCCUAUACACAUGAGUUCUCUCACAAGUUUGGGAAAUUGGGUCCCAGAGGAAAGAAGAGUAUUUUCAUAAGAUACUCUGAAUACUCGAAAUGAUAUGUGUUCAUAGGUGAGCAGGAAAGUGGGAGUAUAACUGAGUUUGAAUCACGAGAUGUCACAUUCUUAGAGGAUGAAUUUCCUAAGAAGGGCGAAAUAGGGGAAGAUUGUUCCCUAUUUGAGACCUUGGAUCAGGAUAAUGAUGUUAGUGGAGUUCGUCCAAGUGGGAGUAAUAUGAGAAGUGAUGAAUUGAAUUCAACUCAUUCUCAAUUGCAACCACAUGAUGAGACGACAUCAUCAUUACCUAAUCCAAGUGGGAGCAUGAUGGGGAAUAAUGUGCAAAGUGUACAAUCUCCCAUACGGCGAACAAGUCGCCAAAGUAUUCCCCGUCGACGUUUUGACAUUGAAGGGGAAACUUUUAUGGUUGCUCCACAAGAUGCGGAUGAGCCAAGAAAUAUUAAUGAGGCUCUGAAUUGCCCUAGUAAGGAAAAAUGUAUUAAUGCAAUGGAAGAGGAAAUGGAGUCAAUGAAAUCAAACCAAGUCUGGGAACUGGUUGAUCUUCCAAAAGGACGCAGAGCUAUUGGGAACAAGUGGGUUCUCAAAAUAAAGCGAAAGGCUGAUGGUUCGAUUGAAAGGCAUAAGGCUUGCCUUGUGGCGAAGGGGUAUAAUCAACAGGAAGGAAUUGAUUAUGAAGAUACGUUUUCUCCUGUAGUGAGAUUUACCUUGAUUCGCAUUAUUCUGGCAAUAGUGGCUAGUCUGGAUCUUAAGUUACAUCAAAUGGAUGUAAAGACUGCUUUCCUCAAUGGAGAAUUAGAGGAAGAAAUAUAUAUGGAACAACCUGCUGGUUUCAUAGUGAAAGGCCAAGAAGAAAAAAUAUGUCGACUUUUGAGGUCGAUAUAUGGUCUUAAGCAGUCAUCAAGACAAUGGUAUAUACGUUUUCAUAAUGCCAUAAUGGCAUAUGAUUUUACGAUGAUUGAUGAGGAUCAUUGUGUAUAUAUCAAAAGAUCCAAGGAUCAAUUUGUGAUCAUAUCAUUAUAUGUUGAUGAUAUACUAAUUGCCGGAAGCAAUAUGGAGUUUGUUCAUACUGUCAAGAGUUGGUUGUCUUCCAACUUUGAGAUGAAGGACAUGGGUGAGGCUGCAUACAUUCUUGGAGUUAAGAUUUCAAGAGAUCGUUCGAAGAGAUCGUUGUCUAUUUCGCAAGAAACAUAUAUAAAUAAGGUUCUUGAACGAUUUCGUAUGCAAGAUUGUAAACCCAUAGACACUCCUAUUGCAAAAGGUGAAGGAUUGAGCCAUAGACUGUGUCCAAGGACUCCACAAGAGAAGGAACAAAUGAAACAUGUUCUUUAUGCUAGUGUUGUUGGGAGCUUGAUGUACGAUAUGAUAUGUACAAGACCCGGCAUAUGUUUUGCAGUUGGAAUGGUGAGUAGAUACCAAUCCAAUCCAGGUCCAGCACAUUGGAAGGCCGUUAAGAGAAUAAUGAGGUAUCUGAAGGGAACUGCUGAUUACAAGUUGAAUUACCAAGGAAAUGAUCUACGACUUGAAGGCUAUUUAGAUGCUGAUUGGGGAGGAGAUUUAGAUGAAAGGAAAUCUACCUCAGGAUUUGCUUUCUUAUUGAGCAAUGGCGCCAUAUCAUGGAGUAGUAAGAAGCAAACAUGCAUAGCCUUAUCCACGAUAGAAGCUGAGUUCGUGGCAUUAUCGGCAGCAGUACAAGAAGGAGUUUGGCUUAAGAGAUUCUUGAAUGAUUUAGGUGUUAUUAAGAAAGCUGCAAAUCAAUUAUUGGUUAAUUGUGAUAGCCAAUCAGCUAUAGCAUACACCAAAGAUCCAAAAUAUCAUGGCAAGACCAAACAUAUAGAUACCAAGUAUAACUUUGUCAAGGAUGUGGUUGCACGAAAGGAUGUGAACUUAUAGUACAUAUCUACGCAUAGAAUGGUAGCAGAUCCUAUGACAAAGCCAAUACCUAGAGAUGUGUUUUGUGGUCAUAUAAAAUCUCUAGGAUUACGUAGAGUCUGAUGUACUGGAUUGUAAUUUCCCUGAGUUGUUCACAUUUAUGAACUAGUGUUGUUUCAUUAUUAAUGCCUAUGAAUCUUUGUUUGAUCUUUAUGCAUCUUAAUACUCAGUGUAUUAUUUUAAGUUGAGGAANNNNNNNNNNNNNNNNNNNNNNNNNNNNNNNNNNNNNNNNNNNNNNNNNNNNNNNNNNNNNNNNNNNNNNNNNNNNNNNNNNNNNNNNNNNNNNNNNNNNUGAGAUUGUUUUUAGCUUAUUAUCUAGGUGAUAAUCGAGAGCUCAAGCUUAAAAUACGUAUGUCGCCUUAACUGAGUGUUAAGAUGAUGACAUAAUACUUACUAUGUCUGAAAGUAAAAUACCCCACAUAUUUUACUUUAUCUGUCUAAGAUACCAGAUGUGAGUUCUAAUGAAUUUUGUAAAUAAGUAGAUACGUGAACUCAAGUUAGACAUUGGGUAUGUCUGAACUAUCAUCUGUACGGUAUUGAAAGGUGUAAACAUACGCUCCAUGGGAAAGGAGUUAAUAUUGUAAUAUGUAUUUCAUACUACGUAUGCAUGAGCCGACCAAUAAGAGUGAAAAAAAAGUUUGAUCUCAACUUUUAUGACGUGUGAGACUCUUGAGGAAAAGAGUUCCUCAAUUUUAGUGCCCUCAUGACUUUUACUUAUUCUCAAGGUUUCUAUUUAGUGUUUGCUAUUUUAGGAUGUUGCCAAUGGUCAUGAGUUGAUUCGAUCUAAUUGGACAUUUCUAGAAAAGCAAGCUGAACUGAAAUUGAGAGUUUGAAGGAAAGAGGAAUAUCGAUUUUGGGGAAUCACGUUAUAGUUUUGUAUUCACUGGUUGACCAAUUAUGAUUGUCUUUGUAAUAAUUAUAAUUGUGAAUACAUUAUAUGUAUCAUUUUUUAAAAAAGAUCAAAAGAGAUAUAAAUGUGAUCGAUCGAUCUAGGGUACUGCAUAUUAAAUCUACUUAAAGCGUGACGCCCAUUAAUGAGCUGUUAUAUAUUCCUAACAGAUGUAUAGCAACGAGCUCUCAAAGUAUGCCGGUCCCAUGGAUUAUUCACCGGUAUGAAUGUUGAAGAGAGGUAAAGAGAAUCAUAUUCGGCCCACCAUGUGCGAGUGGGAGAUGAUGGUUUUAUUAGUGAUGGGCUUAAGGCCCAUCCGCCCAAGUUGGGCCCAAAAAGCCCGGCCCACGGGAAUACGGCCAGUGGAUGGAGGGACAUAUAAAAGGAGGAGAGAGAGAGAGAACGUACCAAUUGAAGAAAACAGAAAGCAAACGUACGUCUUUUUCUUCUCACGCUCUCUCUCUCUCGCUUUUCUCUCUCAAAAGGAAAACAGUGAAGCACGAAGGCGAAUUUGCUUCACCGGAUCGAACAGGACCAAGUUUCUCUUCCUCUAUCGGCGUUAAUGUUUAAUCUGUGGCUUAAAAGGUACGCUCGAAUCCGUGGUGUGCUUUAGGAUCGGUGAUACGUGUUGUUUUCCCAGGCUCGUCUUCCGCAUUGAUUUAGGGGUUUGAUUUAGUGUCGAAUCUGCUUUUCGGGGAUCCGUUAUUCCCAACACAAUAGAAGCAAACCUUGACGCAGGGUUAGGGUUUCCGCCUGCAAGGAGGAAGACGCAUGAAUCUCUUUGGCAAAACCAUCUACCAUGAUGCCGUUGGAGUCACAAAGGAUGCCUGCAAUCGAGUUGAGCGAUUCUCCGUCUACCCACGAGCUAUCCACAUUCAACUUCAAAUCUGGAUCUUUCAGCGCUAUCCAGUUCAGAGGGUAAGUUCGCCUUUUCUCUCAUCUCUUUGCUCUUGCUCGGGUUCCAGCAUCGAUAGCUCUGUUUUUGUGCGAGGGCUGUUGCGAUUAACACCUCAGGUGGUGCCUUCUUAUCCCGGAAUACCAAAUUGUUCCUGUUUUUCCAUAUUUGCCAAAGCACCUCUACGAUUAAUUCUACAUCAGGUAAGUUUGUUUUUGCUUCCAGAAAUUCCGCCAUCCAUUUGUCCAUUCUAGUUACUGUUUUUUGUAGUGGUUGAGGUUUAAUCGUGGAUCUGACCAUAUUCUCUGGACUGUUUUGCAAUAAAAGAAGAUGUGUUUGACUGUCUCAGGGUAUUUAGAACAGAGAGGGCAUAGUGGGUCAAGUAAGAUCUCCCUUUGGUAGAGUUUUUCUUUGGUUGGUACUGCAUCCUGAUAUAGGCUCCACAGAAAUAUUUUCAGUUUGGGGGGGAUUGAUAGGUUUCAUAGUCUUGUCCAGAGGACCCGGGGAGGCUGGUGUGAGGAUGAAGCUCUGUUUCUGUCCUGUUGUGGGGAAUUGUUUUUGACGCUAUUAUAACCACUUUUAACUAUGUAGCUCCCAUUUUUGUUACCUGUCCAGAUCAGUUUAUCUGCCUUUGGCUACGUAGCGAUUGGUAUAGACAAGAUUUCAUUUACAAUUCUUCUUUCAAACAUCUAGUUUAACAGCAGUUCUUUCCACUCCUUCCUUCCCUCAUCAAUUAAAUCAGCCACUGUUUGAAGAUCUUCUCUGUUUGCUGGACCUCCUAGUACUCCUUGUGAUAGCCAGUGAUCUUAACGGAUGUUAAUGGACUUCCUGUCACCCACAAUCCAUCUUAGGUCUAGUGCAAUGGCUUCACGUCCCAUUAGAAUACUCUGCCAUCCCCAAGAUGGUCUUUGACCUCUGUUUACUUUCCAUAAGACUCCAUUAGGAAAAUAUAAACCUUUCAGGAUUUGGCUCCAUAAUGCUGAAGGUAAUAGGGAUAAUCGUCAGGCCUACUUUCCCAACAUUGCUUUGUUGAAAGUAAUUAGGUCUUUAAAACCUAAACCUCCCCUGUCUUUUCUGGACUUUAGAACCUCCCAUUUUUUCCAAUGCAUGCUAUUCUUGGCUUCAUCUUGCUUCCACCAAAAUGCUGCAAUUCUUUUCUCAAUUGCUCGACAAACUGAUAUAGGUAUCUUGAAGAUUAACAUUGCGUACUGCGGCAGUGCUUGCACCACAAUUUUGAUCAAGAUUUCUUUCCCAGCUUUAGACAGGUAUUUUUCUUUCCAUCCCGCUAGCGUCAUGUUCACUCUUGCCAAAAUCCAUGCAAACGUGUCUUUUUUUGUUUGGCCCCAGUCUAAUGGUAUUCCAAGGUAUUUUCCAGUCCUGUCAAUGCUUGGCACUCGCAUUUCUUAUGUCAUAUUCUUUUUCAACUCCUAUGGGCAGCCAUUGUUGAAAACCAUUCCUGACUUAUUCAGAUUGAUUGCUUGACCCGUAGCAUAGUAAUAUUGAUUUAGUACAUCCACCAAACUUUGACAUUCUCCAACAGUCCCAUCCAUAAAGAAAAUAGCAUCAUCAGCGAACAGCAAGUGGGAUAACGUUGGAUAAUACCUGUUUAAUCCGAUCCCUUUAAUACUUCCGUCUUCCAAGGCUUUGUGUAGUAUCCAUGAGAGGCUAUCAAUAUGAAUAGGUAGGGGGAUAGUGGAUUGCCUUGUUUAAUUCCACGUGUAGGAGAAAAAUACUCUGUUUGCUCUCCGUCGAUUUUCACAUUAUAAGAAACUGUUGACAUACAUUGCAUAAUCAAAUGAACCCAGUGAUAAGAAAAUCCCAUCUUUAACAUGCUCAUUCGAAGAAAAUCUCAUUCCACUCUAUCAUAUGCUUUUUGCAUGUCCAGUUUCAAUAUCGCCUGAAAUUUCUUUGUCCUCUUCUUGAUUCUCAUUUGAUGGAGCACUUCUUGAACAAUUAGGAUAUUGUCUUGGAUUUGGCAACCUUGAACAAAAGCACUUUGUUCAUGUGAUAUUAUCUAUGAAAGCCAUUGUUUUAAUCUAUUUACCAGGACCUUCGAUAUGAUUUUAUAGCUGAAAUUGCAUAGGCUGAUUGGUCUGAAUUGGCUAAUAUUCUCUUAAUUUUUAACUUUUGGUAUAAGAGCAAUGUAUGUCAUGUUUAGAAUGGGAUCAAGAUUACCUAACUGAAAAAACUGUUGGACCAUAAGCAUAACAUCCAUUUUUAUAUCAUCCCAGAAGUGCUGGUAGAAUUGCCCAUUUAGAUCGUCUGGUCAUGGAGCCUUUAUGGAGCCUAAUUGGAAAACAGCUUCUUUCACCUCCUCCUCAAAUAUAUUAGCCAACAAGAAUUCAUUCAUCUCUGUAGUUACAACUGUUUAGCAUUGAUUUAAUAUAGGCUGGAGAUUCCGUCGUCCCACCAAGUCAUAGAGAGACCGAUAAUAGUCCAUAAUGUGUUGUUUGAGCACCUUGGGAUCCCUACUCCAAUUCUGUUCAUCAACUUUCAGCAUUGUUAUUUUGUUUCGCUGCCUCCUUCGAAUUGUAGUGGCAUGGAAAUGCUUCGUAUUCUUAUCUCCUCAUUGGAGCCAAUUGAUUCAGGACCUUAGUCCCCAAUACAUAUCUUCAUGCCUCCAUAGUUAAUCAAUGUUUGCUUUUAACUUCUGAAUUUCUUCCUUUCUGGUUUCUCGAGUAUUGUUAUUAGUAACAUCCGUUAGGCACUUCUUGAGUUCUUUUAUUUGAUAGGAUGCAUUAGAAAAUUUCUUUUUGCUCCAUUCAGCUAGUGCCUUUGUUACUUGCUGAAUUUUUUGUGGCAAUCUUCUGUGGUCUUGAUAAUUUCCAGCCCAAGUAUCCAUAACAACAUCUCUACAGUCCUUUUCAUCUAACCAAUAAGCUUCAAAUCUGAAAUCUCUUUUCCUUUUGCCAUGAACAGGAUAUAAGGAGAGUAGAAGGGGGUUGUGAUUCGACCCCACCACUGGUAAUGCCAAAACUUCAGCAUUUGGAAAGGUAACUUGCCAUUCCAUAGUACAUACUACUCUGUCUAAUCGUUUUUUCACCAAUUCUUCCCCUUCUCUAUUAUUGGUCCAUGUAAACAUCUAGUCUUUACUAUCAAUAUCCAUUAGUGAACAGUCAUUUAACAUAUCCCGAAAAGCUGCAAUUCGGUAAUAAUUAGUCUCCCUUUUUCCUUCUUUCUCCCAAUUAUAUAGGGUAUCAUUAAAGUCUCACAUACAAAGCCAUGGUAGUCGAUUAGUUGUAUGAAAACCUCGUAGUUGGUGCCCUAACUAGAUUCUCUCCUAGUAGUUUGUUGAAGCAUGAAGGGAUGUAAUCCUCAUGAUUUUGCCACUAUUGGGAUCUUCACAUUCUGUAUCUAUUAAAUAGUUUGAGCUGCAAUUCACUUUUACUUUAGCCUCCUCACUCCACAUGAGUGCUCGUCCCCCGGCAAUUCCUGUAGGCUGAACCAAAAAGAACUGCUGAUAGUUAAGUCUCCUCCUUACCAUUCACCAUGGUUUCCUUAUUUUUGGUUUCCAUCAAGAAAACCACAUUAGGCCUUUUUAGAGCCACUAAGGCUCGAAGCUCUUGGAAUGUCAAGGGGUUGCCCAGCCCCUGACAAUUUCAGCUCAAAAUCCUCAUGAUGUCGUCAGUGGCUUAUUAGGGCUAGCCACCAAAGCCCAAUCAUUCCCCUCUUUCACUUGCUGGAUAGGUGUCUCUAGUAGCUCCAUCUCUUCUAUCAUUAACAAGCUUGAUUCGUCAAUCUUCUUCUGUUUUUUGCUCUUAUGAACUUUGGCCCCUUCCUAUUAGAGCCUCCUCUUUCAAUCUGUCCUGCUUCAGUCGAGUCUAGAUUUUCUAGUUGUUGUAUCCCUCAUAUCUUCUGUUCUGUUUUCAUUCGGUGAUGGAUUUUCUGCCCUCUUUUUGCUUCAAUUAGGUCCAGCAGCUGGUCCAUGGCAGCCCACAAUCUCAAGAUUAGACUGGAGGGGAGUAUCAGGUACGCAUUCCUCCUCCUCUGAAGUAGAUAUUAUUGUUCCAUAAAAAGCUUCCUAGUGAGGGCUUUUGUCUCUGACCUCUGAUUUAAGCCAUGGCCCGUAUUUCCCUAGCUUGUUUGCUGCCCAUUCUAUUUUUUCAUAGGGUAUUUCUUUGCAAUUGGUGACAUAAUGCCCUAGCUUUCCACAGGAAUAGCAGUAAUGAGGAAGACGCUCAUACUUGAACUCAACCCAUAGCUUUUUUUUGCCAAUCUUCACCAGAGCCCCUGUUUUAAGGGGAGCUGAAAGUUCAAUUUCCACUCUUGCUUUUCCUGUUUUAUAGAGCAUAUUUCCCAUUUUCUCUAACUGAAUUUCCUUCACUUUGCAUAUAGAAAAUAAGAACUGGAAAAAGGAACCCAUAUCUUAUCCAAAAUAUGUACCUCACUAUGGCCAUAGACGCGAUUUCAUUACCUCUUUGCAAAACCAUGAGAUAAAAACCCCGAAAAUCCAACUGUUUAGGCUUUGAUAUGCAAAAAUAAACAAUAAUGCACAUCUUACUCAUACAUACCGUCCACCAAAUAAUUGGCAAACAAAUUACCGUGCUAGUAUGCUACCAAUCUAUAUGAUCAUGGGAAAGAGAAAAGGUCACCAACAGAAUAAUGUGAAGUAAAAGGAAAAGAGAGAGAACAAGCGACUUCCUUCUACCCACUACAGUUUUCUUUACAGUACUUGUGGUGUAUGAGACAAUUCAUCACAAAGCUCAACUAGAUCAUGUUUAAAAGAAAGCCUUUCUAUCUCUUCUUUUUCCUUUUUUCCAUGUUUUUGUUCUUCUUAGAAAAAACGGAUUAGACAAGCCAAUUAAGCCAGCUCUAAAACUAAUUUCAACAUGAGAAAGCUUACUCCUAGGUCUUCCCACCGUAGCACAACCAUCACAAAGCACAAGACCAUGAAAAACCAAUCGACUUGAUGAAAACAGCGAAGUGAUCCAACUACUCCUAAUAAUACAGAAAUCAAAAAAUAAUAAAAUAAUAAUAAUUUAUCUUUUCAGAAAUUAAAAAAAAAAUCAAAAAUAUUCUACAAUUUCCCAAAAAAAGAAAAAGUCAAAAAUGAUUUAUAUUUAAAAAAUCAAAAAUUCCGAAAAUGCAAAAAUAGAAAAAAGACCAAAAAUAUGUUUUUCUCCACAAAAUGCAUGAAAAAUCCUUUAAAAUCCAAAAGGCCUUAGGGUUUAAACAAGAUUAGGUAGCGGAAAGGACAUUAGUGAUUAACUAAUGUAAUUAAGUUAUUGAUCCUAAUUUCUCUGAUUGCGCGGGAACGAAAUAUUUCUCCCAAUAUUUCGUUUGGGUUUCCAAUCAACCCACCCCAAAUUGAAUAGUGAUGAAUUAACUUACAAGUUAAAAACUCGGAGCAUAAGUUGUGAAUUGGUGGGCUUGAGAGAGCCUGAGCUAAGCAUAAUAGACUUAGCAAGCCAUUAGCCUCUACAAGCACCAGCACAUUAGGGCACCGAAAGGGAGGUCGUGACAACAAGCAAAACACCUAUUUAAUCUUACACCCUAUUUUCUGAUAAUCCAGAAGAUACAUGGCUACACUACUACGUUCUUGUUUUACUCUCUCUUUUUUCUAUACGAAGAUUGUACUAUAUGGGGAACAACACAUGAUUGAUCGAAGUCGUGCCUAAUUUAAGGGAGAUGAGGUUGAGAGUAUACUAGCCUUAAACCAAACAAUUUAGAUUUUCUACGAACCUUUCAAUUUGGAUCGACUUUCUUUUAGCCAAGAAGACUUGCAAAAGGGGCAUGUUUCCACCUUUCUCGAUGAGCGGGUUUACAAAUAUGUUACACCAAAAUUUAAUUUUAGUUAAAUUUGCAUGCGGUGAAAUACAUAACUUGUAAUCUACUAACCAAAAAUAUGGUUUUAGCAUGAUUCUUCCAACCCUACAAUGGCAGAAAACAUUAGCCCCGGGAGUCAAAUUAUAGAGCUUAUCAAACAUCAAUCCCUACCGGAAUACAUCAGAAAAGUGCUGAGAACGAAACGCGAGGAGAAGAUAAGAGAUGCACAGGACGUGGAUACGUGAUGGCCAGACGAACUCAAGUGUUGACUGGCGACUGGAUUUAGACACUGAAUAAUUCGUGCAAAUUCUUCUUCGACUAGACACCACAAACAUCGUUUGACCCAGAGCAGGAAAAAGGACGAAAAUGCCCAAAAGGAAGGUGGUCAAAAUUCAGCCGUGACUUCUGAUUUCCAGAGGGCAUUAGCUGCCAACAUUAGAGCAUGAUAGCAUACGUUUUCAAAGACUUUUAUCAUGUACCUUGGAUCAUUAUCAUCAUAGAAAAAACCUACUUCAAUAAUUGACUCGAAAUAUAAACGUUACUCAUGUGAUGAAAAUCUCCUAGAGCUUUAUGCAUGGUCAAUGGACCUACUAAAGAUCCUUGGUUUGACUAUCAUGGACAUCAACUCGGGGAAAUCAACCAGAUGUUAUGAUUUCCGCGAUGCUUGUGCAGCUAGGUCCCAUGAGAUGGCCUAUAGUAUCUGAUGAAUGGACCUAUUUAUGUGCACAGAUUAGACCAAGGCGAUAGGUCCGACUCCCUCCGUUGUCAAGCGCAAACAUCAUAUCUGGAGCAUAUUCGAUUUUCUCUCAUAUGUCGCCUUUAAUAGGAGAUCAUAGGCACUCUAUGGUCUCAAUUUUUUUGCUCUACUUCAAUUCGUGCCUUUAAGUAAACUUUUUUUUCACUUACCGAAGUACUUGUUCUCAAAAGAAAGAAGAGAUCUUAUUCUUGAAAAACGCCCACGUUAGGAACACGCUAAGCAAGUAAGGCCCUGUCCCACUGUAUUGAAAGCGAGAACCACUACAAGAGGUCGAACCGAGGACCUAUGGAAUUGGGGACCCGAUCAAUAUUAGAUCAAACAACUGGGGGGGGCUGGCUACACUAGUACACUAGCCUUUAUUCUAGCCUAUAUUAUACUCAAUGACUAUGUUAGUUGAACUAGCUCAUUCGUUGGCUUGAGAUAGAGCUACUUUAAUACCAACAUGAGGGACUGGCGGGGCUAUAAAGAAAGAAUAAAGUAGUUUCAACAAGAUUCCAUAACGUAUAAUCCUAAACUUUUUUGACCAUCCCAUACGGGCAGGUCGAGUACAAGAUACAUUUCUCUCUUAUUUAUAUAAGAUCGAUUCUUUUGACUAUUCAUUUGGAAGUUUGAUAAUACUGGGAGUGAUUCUAGGUUACUUAUCUUGAAUUUUUCUUGUCCAAAAGAGCAUUUAUUUCGAGUUAUUUCUCAUAUUUUGGAAGUGUUUUCCUUGUGAACGAGUACAAUUCUCACUUGAGUAGGAGACUAUGAAAAAAAAAGUCUUAAUUUUAUUGUACGAAUGUCAAUUUUGUUUUAAACCUUUUAAUUUGACCAAUUUAAUUUCAAACAUUUUGACAAUUUGUCAAUUUAGUUUUCCUAAUCAAUUUCAGUAAAAAAAUCAUUGAUGCGGACAUCUACCACACUACUAUGUGAUACAGUUAGCACUAACGUGGACAAUUUUUUGCAAUUUUUUUAAAGGAAUUGAAAUUUUAAUUUUUUUUUUCCUUUUUUCCGUCAUUGUGCAUCAGCCACUAGGGCAAAGGCCUACAAACCCUCGUCGACCGCUAGCGAGGGCCUUCGUGCCCUAGCCUAUGGCCUAGGCAAAGGCCAAUUACAACUACAAAGAAAACAGAAAAUAAAAAAUUAUUUAAAAACUCAAAACAUUUUUAAAAGUUACAAAAAAAAAAUUGUCCAUAUUAGCACCGAUCGUCCUACAUGGCAUAACCAGCAUCCAUGUCAGCGAUUUUUAAUCAAAAUUGGCCAAAGUUGGCAAACUAUCAAAAGGUUAAGCACUAAAUCGGCCAAGUCAAAACAUUUCAAGAUUGAAUUUAUUAUAAAUUUAAGAUUUUUUUUUUUUUAUAAAUUUCCCUCGAGUGAGAGUCGCAUUCGUUCACAAGGAAAACAUUAUCAAAAUAUGAGAAAUAACUCAAAAUAAACACUCUUUUGGCCAAGAAGAAAAUCAAGACAAGUAACCUAGAAUCAUUCCUAGUAUGAUCGAACUUCCAAGCCGAAUGAUAAUGGAUCGUGUGCUGUAUGAAGAAAAAGUUUCCCUGGAAGAGGAUGGUCAAAAGGGCCCGAUCCGAUGUCCACUCCCAGUGCCAGCAUGCCUCACCUAGCACGGUGUGACCCGCCAAGUUUUCACCUUUGCCUUUUUCCUUUUGUGCGUUGCACGUGGGUGCUUUGCUCGGUUGCUCUGGUAUGCAAUGAGCUUUUUAUUAAAUGCAAUCAUUCAGCACCAGAAGAAUCGGUCAUCCGUAAAACUUUGUCUCCAUCUCUCCUUUCUUCUUUCAGUUCGUGGGGAAUUCAUUAGUGCCAGCUGGGUCGUUUGAUUUGGUUGUGAAUACAAAUAUCAAUAAUGGAUGGGGAGGGCGAUCAUAUCCAAUGAUCCCAUCUUUACGUUACCAUAAAUAUUACGCACCCACUACAAAUUAUUUGAUUUUAACCAUAAUUAUUUUGCACUAUCUGUGAUUUGAAAAUUCGAAAUUAACGAGUGUGUUGAGACAACGUGUCAAAACACCAUCGGUCAAAAAAUCUCUCCACAUGAGACAUGUCAUACUUAUACAAAACAACGAGAGGUUUCUAGGGUUUGUUUACUUAGGUUUCUCGUGAAACUAAUAUGAUGGUCCGCGCGUAAUUCACUAUAGUAAAUUUCCAAAUGUUAAAAGAUCAUGUAUGGGUAUUUGGUAGAAGUUUUGGCUUUUGUUUUGAUUUUAGAGUUUUAGGUUUUGGUUAACGUUGAAUGUGCUGCAUAUAUUUAGAGAGAAAUACACAAGAUGCUAACGUUUUGAGUCGCCUUAAAUUGCUCUCAUGAUUUCUCCGUUAAAAGAUUAUCUUCUAUUUCGACGAUAAGGGAUUUUCGGCUUAGGAAAGCCAAAUCUGAAACGUUUUUGAGUAAAAAGCAAAAGCUAAAGCCAUUUCAAGGUAAAAAAACUACUAGUUAGAAAGCAUUCAUACACCCCGUGACGAUUCGUGCUAAAUCUAAAAAAUUUACAACGAUCCAUUCAAACACCCAAAUAUCAAACCUUACUUUCACUUAAUUAUUUAAAAUUUUAGAUAAUAAGUAUACGGUAGGUUUACAAUACCAAAAAAUACACACGACAAUAAUGCGGGGGUUAAAGUUCACUAACUCAAAAGGGAGGCAAACCAAUCAAUAUGUCCUAAACAAAGAUAAGAUUUGAUCUUGGGAUUGUUCAAAAUAGAGUUCAAACGUUCUGGUAGGCAAGGAUUCCAAUCAACCAUCACUUGAAAAAAGGAAACUUUGACUAAUCAAGAUGAUGACAAAGAUCUCGACCGAAUAAUAGCUAGGGUUUUGACCAUGGUCUGAUGCCAAUCCCCCUCAUAGACCUCUGCCUUUCUGAAAGCUCGUAACUACAAUUCGAAAUUAUACUUUAGGGAGUUAUAUUAAGGGAAAGAGAUCCACUCGUAUCUCACAAUUUAAAAAAGGAAGGAAAACAAAAACACAGAUCAUACCUUCUUCUUCUUUUCUUAUUUUUCCUGUUUUAGAUAAUUGCCCUAAUUGCUUGGGCUCUAGAAUGGGUUCCUACUAUGACUAAAUAUUGGGAUAAUUAUCCAAAAUAUCUUAAAUAUAUAAUACGUGCACGGUACUGAUUGAACAGCAACAUUAAUGAUUUUGGUCAAAAACCCAAUUUUGGUUGGAAUGAUUAUGCUGAAUAAUUGUCAAAAGGUCGAGAUAAAAUUAAUCAAAUUAAAAAUUUUGGAUUGAAUUGACUGUCGUAAAGAUUUUCUAGAGAAUUAUCCCUUCAAUUAUUGCUCAUAUGAUAUCUUAUAAUGAGAAACGGAGCGGUAGGGUGCAAGAACGAAUGAACGUGUGAGUGGAAUCUUGAAUUCAAAGCACGAAAUUCCUUGAAAUUUCAUAAAGUGGGGAAGAAAGCGGUAUCUGGACAAUUAACAUAAACUGAUGGGCGAACAAAGGGCCACGUACCACCUUUGCUCCAUCAAGUUGCACAUUUGAUUCCAAACAAGUCAUGCCACUUGGCCAAAUGCACGUCACUCUGCUUGUGUCAUCCCUCGUCAUCUAAUUCGUUCGGGUAUGAAACUGUUGGCCCAAUUGAUCAAUCGAGUUUUAAAAUAUUUAAUUUUUGGCCGAUUGAGCUUUUUCACUUUUUUAAAAUACAUUGAAUCGAGUCGCCGAUCAUCGAAAGCGAUUUACUUCGAUGCCGACAAGUGCUAAUCGACGAACAUGUCCAGCACUCGUUGCACAUUUUAAAAGCGUGGAAGACUCGUCCGGACAAGAUAAAAUGUGGAGAGCUCAAUUGAAUAAUGGUUGAUUCAUAAAAGGUUUACGAUUAUGGAAUUUAUUUAACUUUUACCUAAGAUUAAAAAAAAAGGAAAAUGUUUCAUGAGACCGGCACGUCCAAAUGCCUUUAAUUCUUUGCUAUAUGCAUCUAUUAAUAUUAUUACAUGGCUUCAAUUGCUAGAAAAAUGAUGGGUUAGAUUUUUAUGAUAGCUCAGUACCACUAACCCUAAUUAAAAUUCCUGUAUCAAUGAGAGUCAACACUGCAACAAUUUUGAGUAGGACUUUUUAAUUUAAUAGUAACCAACUUUCAAAUACAAACAAAAUGAUCAUGAUAUAUGUCAUAUGUCGAAUUAGAUACAUUGAAUUUCCCCUAACAAAGUGCCGGUCAUCGUUCGAGUUUCAAUUAGCAAGAUUCAUGUAUGGAAUGUUUGAAGCCCUUCCAUCAUCUAACUAUCUUUCACUAGAUCCAACGGUCUCCAUCCGAAGACAUUUACAUUCCGACAACAUCGCCAAAGCGUACGAGACAUGCUUCUACUUACGUUAACCUCGAAAGGAAGACCGGGGCGCACUGUUUCACACCCGCUCUUUGAGCAAGAAGAUGCAUCACGAUAAUCACUUCAGUAACCCGUUUGAAUUCUUACGACGCCAAUAUGCUCGAGCCUUCAAGGGUGUCGUCUCGGCAUCAUGAUCAAUGACUGACCCACACUUCACGUGCCCACUUGAGUUAUUUUGGCAUGUGGUGAUUAGAGCUUUGGAAACAAGUGAGAGAUCUUAAACCACGUGGGUCUAAGGAAAACAAAGAAAGAAGGUUGUAUAAAAUAAUCCAACUUGUGGCAGCGUGUGUAUAAAUCUCAACGAGUAGCUGCUGAGCCUCUUUGAGCUCACUUCAGCAGCGGCGCACGCAAAAACUCACUCACCUAACACUACUCAAGGAGCAAGAGGAGGAAGAAGAAGAAGAAGAAGAAGAAGAAGAAGAUGAGUACUCAACCACCAAACCCGCCACCGCCUCAGAAGCCCCAUCCAGCCCCAUCCUACGGCAACCAACCACCACCGAGAGGCAAUGUCAUCAAGAAAAUCAUCUUCGGCAAUAGCUGAAGCUGUUAUGAUCUUAAUCCUGGGGAGGAGUAAGUAGGUUUUCAAUUAAGUGAAUUACAUAACCUGUGUCCUAUCUUAUCAGAGGCCCCUCUGGCCCCAUCCUCCGGCAAUCAACCACCUCCGAGAGGCAGUGCAGUUAGGUUUUCGAUUAUGUUAAAUACAUAACCUCUAUCCUAUCUUAAGUGCUAUGUGUAAUCAGUAUACUAGAGUCGAGGUCGAUGUACCCAUUAUAAAGGGUACGCCAGGAUGACCCAGACCUAAGUGUUGUACAGACUUGGUGUUUUCGUGAUGUGAAAUGUAAACAAAAUCCUCCCCCAAAUUAAGCUUCUGAUGUUUUUACAGGGUAGGCAUAUUUCCAGAUAAUUCUCAUACCCGCAUGCGAUAAUGAAUAGAUCUCGGCUUCCUCUUGUGCUUUCGUAUCGUCCUGUCGGGCAUGUGCAGCACGCAUGUUCGUAUGUAUUUGCUUGUGCGCAGCGCGGGCAAGCGUGCUGAACAGGUAGAAUAAUC